rnacentral:lncRNA from 1 species
UUAAAAAAAAACGGUGAUGCAAAAUCCUUCAUGGAUUAAUAGAUAUAAACGUUUUUGUGAAGUCUACCAAUAGUUGACAGAUUCUGUCAAGGAUUUUUCAAAAUAUCUUUAAAAUAGCAAACAUCAUCCAAAAGACAUGAAAUUUUGCAGAAACGAAAUACACAUAUCAUAGAUAAACAUACUAAAAUUUCAGAGCCAUCAAGCAAUGAAAACUCAUCGAAACAUAAGCUUGAAACUGCUGUAAAAUUUUGACAGAAUUCCAGUUUUAAUCUCGUUCAACAAUUAUCAUCCAUAAAUUGUAAAUCAAUUAGCAUGCUCAUGUGAUAUCGUAGAACACAUAUACGCAAUAAUAUUCAUUAUGCAACGUCUCAAACUUCACGAAUUUAAAUAAUCAUACUCUAAAAAAUUUAUACAAUUUUCGUGCUUGGAAAAAUACGAAUUUAAUAUAUAUCGAUUCUAGCAUACCCCUAAGCACAAAUAUCAAGUCAAAACGAUCAAACAAAAAUCGAAAGACAAGCUAAUAUGUGAAAAAACGGGGCUGCCCUCAUGGGUUUCAUAGCUACGGUUCGUUCCGUUCUUACUCCCUUCAUUAAACAUGCUCAACAUCUACCCAAGAACAACAUACUAAAAAUUUCACGACGAUCCGACGUCGUUUCAAAAUAAAGUCGAGAAUCGACGUUUUUCGACGUCGACGAAAAUCGAGAAUAAAACCAUCAAAACGUAGGUAGAGAUCUUACCUACUUAGAUACGUGAUCGAAAAGAUAGAUCGGCGCUCGUCUCGGUGCUCAAAUCGGAGGUCAAAAGCUCCAACACCAAAGAAAAUGGUGUUAUGCGUGAAGUGUGUGUGUUUUUAGGUGUUAGUGUGUGUGUUGUGGCUGAUAUCAACGUGAUGUUGUGUGAGUGAGUAAGGGUUUGGGCGGUUGGGGGGUGGUUUUGGUGGGGUAGGUUAGAUAUUUAGUCGUUAAAUAUCUCGUUCGUCGUCUCGUCUCGUCUCGUCUCGUUUUAACGACUAACUACCCAUACUCUUCGUUACUCGCCCUCUCAACUCUUACUCACUUUCAUUACACUCGUAAUUCUAUAUAGAUAUAGAAAACGCAAGCUCGUUCUCGAAAUUCUGAUAAACGAGCUCGGUUCGUUUAUCGAGAAAUCCCGAUUUAGUAUUCACUCGUCGUCCAAAAAUAAAAACUUUCAUUAUUGGACUCGUAUCGAAAAACUAAGAAUAUUUCUCGACGACGUGCACGUAAGAUUUUGAAAGUCGACAAAAAGACGAAAUAGCCGUAUUUUACUAUUCAUCGUCAAAAAGUCAAAAUUUUCAAAAACGUCUUAACGGACUCAGAUUUCACUUCCGAGUUCACCGUUCUCAUUCAAAUAAUUAUCUAGAAUUAUUCAAAUACUCAAACUCAAAUACGGAUAUAAAAUCUCACAUCAUUCUCACAUCAUCGAAAGAACAUCUCAACAUCUUAAAAAAAUAACAACAAAACUUCAUAUAACUCUUCAUCUCUUUACAAAGUAAAUCAAACAAGGGAUCUAAACCUUAAUUACUCAAACUCAAGAAAUUAAACACGUCAUCAAAAGCCCGGGUAUUACAAUAGUGAGGGCUCUGCUCAAUGUUUGCGCGUAGGUGAGACCUCCUUGACUUGCUAGGGAAAUCGCUAUCUCGUGACGCAGUCCGUUUCUGAACUUCUCUGCGCGUUUCUCAUCACUGUCUACUAACGUCGGAGCAUAUCUUGAUAGCUGAUUGAAGGCCCUGUCGUACUCAGUCACAGUUCCCAUUUUCUGUCCCAGAUUCCAAAAUUCAUUCUGUUUCUUCUGUCGGUAACAUCCCGAUAUAUACUUCUCAUACAAUUCAACCUUGAACUCUUCCCAUGUGAAAUCCUCCCACUGUUCGUCAGUCAUUGUCCGCCUAACUGACUCCCACCAAAAGUCAGCUUCGUCCACCAACUGAUAAGUUGCGCAUGACACUUUAUCCUCAUCAUCACAACGUAUGUAGUUGAAGAUCCGUUCUAUUGCCCUAACCCAUUUUUCGGCAUCCCCGGGUUCACCCAAUCCAUCAAACGUUGGGGGUUUUUCCUUACGAAACUUUUCCUCGGCUGUGCGAUUCGGUGCUACUUGUGGAACAGGUUCUUCGGGGAUGAAUCCCCUACCGCGCCCACAGCCACGACCAUGUCCUCCACCGCGUCCUCUUGGUGCACCUUCCAUUCUGAUUGACGGACGAGAAUCAGCAGACGAAGAGACUCAUUCGGUAUACAUACAUACGAGACAUAUCGCUUCUAAGGUAUAACCAUGCGAAAGGUUAACUCUAUGUGGGAACUGAUCUCUCUUGGUGGAGCAACUUAAGUGAAACCUUAAUCUCAUGACAUUUCUUCUACGUUGUAACAUAUCUAUGCUAAACGUUGCUAUCUUAUCAUUCCUUACUUAAAUCGACCAAGCGGAGCUUUCACGACUAACAUUUCUAAAGUAUCCUUGGGUAGUAUCAAACGGUUUGUAAGAGGACUCAUCAUUCAUAUCGUACAGACAGUGAACCUAACAUGAUAACAUAAAACUUUUCAUUCAUUCAAUCAUUUGUUUCUUUUGAAACCUUAAAACAUAUGGACAAUAAAUGCCCCUUUCAUAAAAAUUUUCUUAAGCCGAAAAGAUUAAUGGAAUCUAACUCGACCAUAAAUUCAUUGAUUCGUUAAGGGCUCGAUAGUCCCAAACACGACAUACAUACAUACAUUGGUUAUAUGAGUCAAAGGCUCAAAAUAACAAUAUGAAAGCGAUAAGCAAUUCAUAUAACAUCAUUCAUUGAAAGCGCGCACUUCUUAAAAACUUUGAAAGCAUUUAAAAUCAUUGAAACUUUUAAGUCGUACCUUUUUGUUGCGGCAGUGUGACGGCGAGCUGAGGGUCAACAAAUUUUUCUCAGAAGUCUAGAGAUACUAAUCUAGACUCGAUGUUAGAAGCUUAUGGUUAUCAGAGACAUGAAAGAAAACUUAUGCUCUGAUACCAUUCUGUCACACCCCAAUUCUUGAAUGAAUAAAUAUAAUCGAGAUGCGACUAAAAUCAUAGAAAUAAACAAGGAAAAACCUUAGUUAAAACCCGAAUAAAAUAACAAGUCGGGCUAGUCCCCUUUGGAUCACAAGUUUAGUGUCAUGCUUUUGAUAACCCAUAUUUAGAAUGAAAUACUUGUGAAAUAAUAAUCUCGGCUCAACAAAAUAUAUAGAAGUUGAGAGUCUAAGCUCGAUAAGAAACAUAAUUCAGAAUUUACAUAAAGGUCUUAUGUUUAGAGAAACAAGAGACAAAAGAGCUAGUGCAACAGCGGAAGACAAAAUACGGAGUUGAACCCUAGCCUCAGCUCCGCCCCGUCAGCACCGACCAAUCAACCUGAAAAACAUUUGAAAGUAUUUUUGGGCUAAGUACUAAUGUACUUAGUGGGCUAGCAUUUUUAUAAACAUUUCAUAAUUAUAAGAGCAGUUUAUCCAAUUAUUUGACAUGACUUAGAAGGUUUUUAAGUGAAUAACUUCUAAACAUGUUGAAACAUUUUAUAAUAUUGCGCGCAUUUGUCACACUCCCUUUCCGUUACUCGCUGUGAUCCCGGACCUUUUAGCCACCGACGGAUCCAUUACUCCUGCUUACUUGAACUGAGGGCGUAACCCAGUCAAGUUCCCAUUUGGGACCCAAUGCUCCGGAACACAUCCCGUCGAGCACCCUUAUAACGCCUCAUACAUGAUUAGUGCCCGAAUGGAGAUCAACCCACCGAGUCAGCUAAUAGGUGUACACAAUUCUCAAAUAACGUGUUAGGUCAAGAGAGAACCUCGAUCGAUUCAUUAUUGCGAGCCUUAAACAGAGCAGAGUGCACAAAAAUAUUUUAUCGGAUAAACAGUUUUCAUUUCAUUGAAACAUUUAAGCUUAAUAGCUAAACCAUACAUUUGGAAAAUAAGCCCACCUGAUUAGGCAAUGCCUGUCGUUUAUUCUUAACUCUGAAUUGGUAUAGUAGUGCUACUCCUCACGAUCCACAAGCCUACAAGAAAUCUAUAUCUUAAUAGGUCUCCUGAUCUAAUCUUAAGUCAUAGUGUAGUGCUUAUCUUUCUAUGAUUCACUUAGCCGGGUUUUUAAAAUUUAAUAAAUAAAUAUUUGAAAANCAUGAAUUAGUGCCCGAUGGAGAUCAACCCACCGAAACAACUAACAAGUGUACACAAUUCUCAAAUAACGUGUUAGGCCAUAAGAGAACCUCGAUCGAUCCAUGAAUUGCGAGCCUUAAACAGAGCAGAGUGCACAUAAACAUUUUAUUGGAUAAACAGUUUUCAUUAAAUAAACAAUUUGCAUUUCAUUGAAACAAUUAGCUUAAUAACUCAAACUAAUUUGUACAUAUGAAAGUAAGCCCACCUGUAUAGGCAAAGCCUGUCGUUUAACCUUAUCUCUGAAUCGGAAUAGCAGUGCUAAUCCUUCUGAUGCUCAAAGCCUACAAGAAAUCUAUUCUCAAUAGGUCUCCUUGUAUCUAAUCUUAAGUCAUGGUGUAGUGCUUAACAUUCUAUGAUUCACUUAGCUGGGUUUUCAAAAUUUAAUAAAUAAUUGAAAACAUUUCUCUUGAGUUAAGAACACCAACAAUAUUCUUACUCGUCUUUCUUUUGAAAUCGGAGUUUUAAAUAACCAAUUAAAACAUGAUGCAAUGCAUGACUCCAGAAACUGAACACGAACAGCAGCCUUAAGUUCAUGCAACUCUAACAUUUACACAAAACUCAAAGAAAACCCUUAACAUGCAUCUCCAAACAUCAUACAAAGUACAGCCAUCUCUACAAAACAUACAACUUAACAUGCUUGAUAAACACAAUAUUUAACAAAGAACAAACCUAGCAUGCUCCUAAAACACAAUCACAAGUUACAACGAUUAAACAAAAAUUGAAGAACGAUUAAUGACGACGAAGAACACAGCCGGGCUGCCCUCCUGGGUUCCCUAGCUAUGGUUCGAUCCAACCUUAACUUCUUCAUUAAACAUGCUUGACAUCUACCCAAGAACAACAUACUAAAAAUUCACGACGAUCCGACGUCGUUUCAAAAUAAAGUCGAGAAUCAACGUUUUUCGACGUCGACGAAAAUCGAAAAGAAAACCAUGGAAUCAUGGGUAGAGAUGUUACCUACGUAAAAACGUGAUCGAAAAGAUGAUCGGCGCUCGUCUCGGUGCUCAAAUCGGAGCUCAAAAGCUUGAAGAAGCUUUAAUGGAGGGAGUGUGUGUUCUUGGUGUUUGUGUGUGAGAGAGAAAAGGUGGUGAGUGAAUGGGUGGCUGCUAACAGCCGUGAGUUUGUAGAUAUAGGGAGUUGGGCGGUUUGGGGGGGUGGUUUUGGUGGGGUAGGGUUAGAUCUUUUAAGAUAUUAUCCCACUUAGUAAUUACCCACAUUCUUCGUUACUCGCCCUCUCGACCUCUACUCAAUUUCAUCACACUCGUAAUUCUAUAUAAAUAUAGAAAACGUAAGCUCGUUCUCGAAAUUCUGAUAAACGAGAUCUACACGUUUAUCGAGAAAUUCCGGUUUACUAUUCACUCAUCGUCCAAAAAUAAAAACUUUCAUUAUUGGACUCGUAUCGAAAAACUAAGAAUAUUUCUCGACGACGUGCACGUAAGAUUUUUGAAAGUCACCAAAAAGACGAAAUAGCAGUAUUUUACUAUUCAUCGUCGAAAAGUCAAAAAUUCCAAAAACGUCGUAACGGACUCAGAUCUCACUUCCGAGUUCACCGUUCUCAUUCAAAUAAUUAUCUCAAAUUAUUCGAAUACUCAAACUCAAGCAAUUAAAAGCUUAAGGCCCAAAUAAAAUUAAAGCUCACUCAUAAAAAUAGUUGAAUGCUUAAUUAAAUAAAUAUGCAAAGCACAUAAAUUUAAUUACUAAAUUUACAAAUGUUUUUGUAAAUCAUUUUUGUUGGAAUUAAAAUAAUUUCUUUUUCUCAAUCCGGCGUGAAUCAUCUUAAAUUUAAGUUCAAAAAUUAUUCUAAACUUAAUAUUAAUGGGCGGGGUAUUACAUGAUCCAAGCCAUUAAUAUAGAAAAUGAUUUAAGUUUUAUCUUGUCAAUUUGAUUUUGCUUAUAUUUGAAAAACAGACAUUGCUUGAAAGUAAUUGACUUAUUAUUGUGACUUUUGGUUGUAAUAUGUGUUAGUUUGUUUACUUUAAUUGUCGUUAAUUGUUGCCUAGGUUGGGAAUUCAUUUAUUAGAGGUGUUCUUUUUUUUUGAUAUAAAAUUACAAGUGUCAAUAAUUUUUUUUUAUUCUAAAUAAUCACAAGUCAUGAGUUGGUGGAGUGGAUAAGACCUCGUCCUUUCUUCCAAAGGUCAAGAGUUUGAAUCCUAUUGCUCACAUCCUAAAAAUUUGAUUUUUUUUUUCAUAAUCUGCCUCAAUUAAAUCGGUUAAUUCGGUUAACUGAUUUUUCGAACAAAUUCAGAAAUUGCGUAUUAAUCGGUUAAUACGGUUUAAUCGAAUCGGUUAAUCAGUUAACUGAAGUAUUAACUGGUUCGGUUACCGGUUAGAAAAAUGCCCCUUCCACGUCAUCGUCCGGACCCGAAAGUAUAAGUUCAGGGUAUUUUACAACUUCUAUGAAAGUUUCGGCUAUUUUCUAUAUUUAUAAAGUUAGUGCCAUUUUAACAAAUUAGUGUUAAUGGGCAAAAAUGCCCCAUCCCUUAUGUUUUUUUUUUGAAAAAUGCUCUCUUUUAUCAUAGAAAGCAAUCUAUGCCCUAAAAGGCUAAAUUACCCUUAAUUGGGUCAACAUCAAAUGUGCAGUGCUGACACUUCUUACACACUCUUACACAUUCAUCACUUUCAAUGCAUUUUUUUACAAUAAUUAGUGAUAUUGACCGAAUUCAUGGUUUUGAGUGCAUGCAUGCAUGCGAAAUUUUCAUUUUCCUUUUUUCUUUUUUGCCCUUUUUUCUGGGACAUCAUUCAUUAUUAAUGUGAAGUGGAAAUUAAUGUGUCCGAGCGUGUGUAUGUAUGUAUAUAUAUUUUUGAACGUUACUAUUAACUUAUAUAUAACACUAUAUAUAUUCAUAUCUUUAAAUUGAAAAAACGACCGGACACAUUGUGCAUGGUCUCUCAAAAAUAAACUUGCAAUAUAAUAAUUCAUACCAAGCAAUACUAUUCUCCAAGCAACACUAAUUCAAUAAUUAACACUUAAACAAUAUAAUUAAAUUAAAUUCAGCAAAAUAGUAAAAAUUAAUAUAAAGAUACAAAUAGAUAAAAUAGAGAAUUUUAUGUCGUUAUAGGAUCUGUCCGGCCGGUGAAGUGCCCGGACAAAUGUGUCCGGCCGGGUACAUUUCAGGUAAACAAUGACCCAGCCGGACACAUUUUUCCGGGAAAAUUACCGGCUGGACAGAUUUUAUUUAGGCAUAAAAUAUUCUAUUUUAUUCAAUUUCAUAAAAAAAAAAAACUGUCAAGAAGCUAAUAAUAUAUAUGCGUGUGUAUCUAUCUUAAAAUUUUUAUAUUUUUNCCCUUUAAUCUCUUAAUUUGAAUUUUCUUUUACCAAAUUCUUUCUCUUCCGUUUAAUACUUAUAUUCCUUAAAAUCCUUAACAACCGUUUACUUAUUAUUAUUUUUUUAUUUUUUCUUUUUUUGGUGGGUCCCACUUGUAAUUUUUAGGCGGGUGUUGUUAACAACCUUGGCAUAUGAAUCGUUUCUUCCCCUUUCCAACAUCACAGACACCAUUGAAGUUGCAGACGCCAUUGAGAGACGAAGCUAAUCUACUCCGGUGGGAUUGAUCAAAUCGACAGAAAGAUAAGUUUGCAUGAUCGUUUUUCUGAAGUUUGGAAUGUGGACAGUAGCAAUAAGUCAUGCAAGCAAGGGUUUUUACAACAAGUUUCUUAUGUCGAUUUUUCUUGAAGUAUGUUAUAUACAUAUUAUUGAUUGUGAAUUUUUUUUUGUUUUCUUGUUGUCUGUGAUGCAGCAUGUUGACAUUCGUUUUUAAUUUAUGGGGUUUAUGGGUGAAAAAUGAUGAUUCCGGGAAACUAAUGUACGAUGGCUACAAUUCUGUAGAAAUUGAAGAAUCCUAUGAGAAAAUGACUUAUGAGCGCUUAUUAGAUGAAUUUGCUAAUUGCUAUGGUAGUAAGCCUAAGAAAGUUUAUGCCUUAGAUGAUGAUUACACUGUCGAGAAGGGCUUAGUUCUCCUUAGAGACUCACAGCAUUGUAAGAAAGUUUUUGACUACUUUGAUAUAAUUGGACAAGCAGAGGUCUUAUUAUUUGCUGACCAUGAAACAGAUCCCAUGCCCCAAAUUAUACCUUUAUGUAUGUUUGAGGAAGAAGAUGGUAGUGGUGAUUUAGAGGAUGUGCAUGAUUUGAGGAUUGCUAAUGAUGGUGAGGUUACUGAUAAGGUAGAGACUGUGGAGGGGGUAGGGACAGUAGUCAGUGGGGUAGAGACUAAUGCUGAGGAGGGAGUGCCAGUAGACAGUGGGGUAGAGACUGAGACUGUCAUUGGGAUAGAGGACAUUAUGGUAAAUGAAAGGAGGGAGGAUGAAGAACAAGAAGAUAAUGUUAUAAGAGUUAAUGAAGUGGGAAGUGAGGAUUGAGAUGAUGACCAAAGAGAUGACCUAGGUUUUGGUAUUGCCUCAGAGACUGACUCCAGCAUAUAUAGUGAUGAGCAGUCUGAUAGUGAUGAUGAAUUGGUUAAUGAUGAAGAUGUUUGUGCAUUAGAAGUUGGGGAGCAGGGUAAGUUUGAAAUUGGUAUGACCUUUGCAGGAGCAAAGGAUUGUAGAGAUGCUAUCAAUACCUAUGCUGUCAAAUUUGGGUACAAAUUAGUUAUCAAGAAUGAACCAAAGAGAAUUAGAGUUAUUUGCACUAGUGAGAGUUCUUGUCCAUUUGUGAUGCUGGCUUCAAAGAAUGAGGAGGCAGAAAGGCUAGUUAUCAAAACAUUGGUAGCCCAACAUACUUGUACUAGGCAGAGGGAGGUGUCUAGUUGCUCUCAAUCAUACCUUGCCAACUAUUUUAAGGAGGCAUUGUAUAGAAAUCCUAAGUUUUCAUCAAAGGAUAUGCAAGGGCAGGUGAAAGAACAUUUAAAAAUUCAUGUUAGCUUGAUGAAGUGCAAGAGAGCUAAGAGAAUAAUUCGGACAAAGAUGAAAGGCAGCUACAUGCAAGAGUUUAAUAUGCUUUGUGGUUAUAUUGAGAAGGUAAAGGAGACUAACCCGGGUUCAAAAAUGGAGAUGCAACUGUCUAGAGAUGAACUAGCAAAUGGCAGAAGAGUUUUCAAACGAAUUUUGUCAUACUUGAUGCAUGUAGGAAGAACUGGCUUGGGNGAUGUAGGCCAUUGAUAUCUUUAGAUGGUUGUCAUCUAAAGGGGGUUACAUUUGGGGUGCUUCUCACAGCUGUUGGGAAGGAUGCCAAUGAUGGAGUCUGCCCCAUUGCAUGGGCAGUGGUGAAUAAGGAGAACAAACACAACUGGAAUUGGUUUUUAAGUUGGUUGAAGAGUGAAUUACAGCUUGGUGAUGGAUCAAGGGUGACUAUUAUGUCUGAUAUGCAGAAGGUUAGUAUUUCUUCAUGUUAUGUCUUAGUGUUUUAUUGAAAACUAUAACUCAUGAAAACUAAUUUCACACUUCUAACAGGGCUUGAUGGAGGCAGUAAAUGACCAAAUACCAGAUGCUGAGCAUAGAUGGUGUGCAAGACACAUCUAUGGUAACUGGAGUAAGAAGUGGAGAGGUGAGGAAUUGAAGAAGAGGUUCUGGUUGGCAGCUUGGUCUUCAUUCCAAGAAGAGUACAAGCUGAACAUGGCCAAGCUUAGUUCUAUAAAGAAGCAGGCUGCAGUGGAUCUCCUUCAUUAUCCACCCCAGAACUGUGUAGGGCAUAUCAAAGUGACAGAUGCUGCAUUCACAUGGUAGAUAACAACAUUUCUAAGUCUUUCAAUUCAAGCAUUCUAGAAGCUAGGCACAAGCCAAUUAUCAGUAUGUUAGACGACAUUAGGGUGAUUGUGAUGACUAGAAUAAGGGAUAGAAGAAAUAGUGUGCAUCAGUGGAAGUCUGAUUGGUCUCCUGCAUGCAUGAAAUUGUUUGAGGCAGCUAAAUCUGAAGCAUUGACAUGCAAUGUGAUCUGGACUGGGGAAGAUGGGUAUGAAAUUGGGGAGUUUGAGGACAAACACACUGUGUCAUUGGAUAGGAAAAGUUGUACAUGUAGGAUGUGGCAAUUGACAGGGGUUCCAUGUUGCCAUGCACUAGCUGCAUUAUUUUACUCUUCAUUGGAUCAUCUAAGUGUCAUUUCCAGCUGGUACCAUAAGUCAACCUACAUGAAAAGCUAUGAACACUCCAUCCAGCCGGUUCCAGGCAUGAAAUUCUGGAAUGUUAAAGAAUGUGAUGGAGUAGAACCUCCUCCAGUGGAAAAAAAGAUUGGCAGGCCCAAGAAGAUGAGGGUGAGAGCUCCAAACGAGCCUAGGAAGGGAACCAAACUGUCAAGGGUUGGUCAGCUACAACGUUGUAGCAUCUGUAAGAGCUCAAGUCAUAAAAAAGGACAUUGCCCUCAAAGGCCAAGUGAGGUAUUCACCAAUAUAUAAAUGAAAAUGUUAAUGGUUUUAUUACUUAUUGAUUGACUUACAUACUACUCAGGUGGCACAAGACACUCAAGCUUCAACUUCAGCUUUGCCUACAAAGGUGAAGACAAAGAGGAGUUCUCAAGGCAUGGGCUUGUACAUCAAUACUGAAACUGGAAGGAGUGUUCUAAAUGUGAGAUUUCAAUUAUGAUAACUGUCAGUCUUUAUUCUUCAUUAGCUUAGAUCUACAUUUAUACUAAGACUAUGUUGUUCUAUGCCAUAAAACAGCCCGGGAUGUCUGCUUCACUAGUCAUAAAUGAGGGUAGGUCCAUGGAGCCUGAACCAAACACACGGUUUGCAAUACCAAAUGAAAGUGAAUUGAGGAAGGGCAAGAGAAAACAAACUCAAACAGUGGCUGAUCUAUCAAAGCUUAGGAAGGUGGCCUCAAAGCCAUUUAAGGCUCCACGAGGAAAAAAAGAAGAAGUGGUCCUAAAAAGAUCCCCAAGAGGGAAAAAUAUUGCUUCAACUGUGGAUUCUACAACUACUAGUUGAAGCAUGAUAUUUCUUCCUCAGUUUACAACAGGCCCAAGAAAGUUUUGAUGCUUUUCUUUUGUUUACAACUAUGGUUUUGAAUGAUGGAAGUUUAGACUGUGAUUGAAUAUGUAUGGUUUUGAAUGAUGGCUAUUUGGAUGGUGUUGAAUGAUGGAUAUUUGGAUAGGAACAGUGAAUAUUUAUAGAUUGAAAUAUGUAUGGUUUUAUUCGGAUUUUUGAAUGAUGGAAUGAUAUGGUUAUGUUCAUCUUUUGUUUGAAUCAUAUCCAAAGUUGACCUUCUGCAGAGCUGACCAUAUCUAGAGCUGACUAUCUCCAAAGCUGCCUACUUCGACAGAGCUGACCAAACUCGACAGAGCUGACUUUCACUCGCCAGAACUAGCAAGGCCGACAGAGCUGGCAUUCGUUCAUGCAGAGCUCAAGUUCCAGAGCUACCUACGCCAGCACUGCUCCAGAGCUACCUUCGCCAGCACUGCUCCAGAGCUGGCAUUCCUCUCUUUUGUUCAUUUAAAAGUUAUUCAGCUUUCAUUUUAUGUUUGAAUGAUGGAUUAUUUGUUUACAACAUAUAAUCCAAAAUGUGCUUCAAUUUCAUAUCCAAAACAAAGGGAUACAUGAUCUGCAAUAGAGUUCAUAGAACUUUACAAAGACAUGUUAAACUAGUGCAAAAUAUGCAAAUAACACCCAAGAAGCAAGCAACAUUGCAGUAACUAGUCUAACUUUCUUCUUAAUUUCGUUUGAAUCUGAUUUCAAAGCUUGAACAAAAUCCCAAAGCUUGACAAUUUCCGACUCCAUAUCAGUGGGUACCGAGCUUGAGCUCUCCUUAAUCUUCAUGAGCUUCAACUCAUUGAUAACUUCCUUGGCUCUUUCACUAAUUGGUUCGUCAAGCCAAUAAAAAAAUCCACAGUUCUUCGUCUAAAACACGAAAUUGCAGACAUUUAAAGCAAGAAAGUUCAAAAAAUACAAACUAGUGCAAAAUCACAAACAUACCUUUCAAUUUCGACAUCCAUAAAACCUUCUACCGAGAUUUUCAUCAGUCCACGAUGUCACUAUCACAGUGAUCACUAAUUUCUUAGCAACAAAAACUGCAACUAACACAGGCAAUUGUAGCAAGUAAAAAUUAACCGAGUAUCGUAUCCACAGGGACUGACACAACGAAAUAACUCUAACUAUCUCCUAAACAGACUAANUGAUCAGACCCGUUUUCAGCUCAAAGUUGGUAACGUUCACACGUGGGGGCUCCUGGUAUACAUACUGUGGUAUGAACGCUUCAUUGAUGGCUGGUUGUUUCGGAGCCUCUCUCGUCUCCUGUGCGUCAAGCAGCUUCUUCAACUGCUCUUGCAGAGCUCGAAUUUGGAUUUGCUCUGGAGUAGCCAUCGUAUUAUCCUCAACUUGAUUCUGUUGCUUCUUAAGAUUGCGCAAGGUCUUGUUGAUUUCAGGGUCUAACUCAAGAGAGGAGACUCGUGAGAUCGUGUGUUCAUAUGCAACCUACAGAACACAACUUAUAAAACCAGAAAUAAAUAAACAAUAAACUUGCAGUACUAUUAAGUCCUAUUGGAAAUAUUAAAGUAAAAUCUAAACAAUCCCCGGCAACGGCGCCAAAAGUUGAUCACUAAUUUAUUAGCACAAAAUACCGCAACUAACACGGUGUAAUUGUAGUAUAAACAGCAAUCGGAUAUCGUAUCCACAGGGAUUGUAACACGAAAUCACUUAUCUAUUUCCUACACAAACUUUCACAGUAUGCAAGUAAAACGAAAUUGAAGGUGACUAUUGAACUAAAUUAACUAAUUAAACUAAAGAGCAUAAACACUAUGAUGAUUAACUCAAAUAUAGGGAAAGUCUGACCCUAGGGAUGUAUUUUCACUAAUCAACUAUAUGUAUUCAACCUAUUGAUUCAAUUACCAAUUUUAAUCCAACCCUGAUGAAAGAUCACUAUGUUAAUCACAAGCGUCUCUAACGACCACCUAUGAAUGUAGAUUAAUUAAUCCCUUUUCGCAUUCAAGACUCCAAGGAAUAAAUUAACUCCCAAUAGCACAUAAAGAAUAGCUUCCUAUAGCUUCACCUAUCGCAUUCAAGACUCAAGGCUAACACUAUAUCAUGCAUUCCUGAAUCGGCUGAACAAUUAUCGCAUUCAAGACUCAAACUGAACAGCUAGACAUGUAAAUCAUUGAUCAGAUAAUUCACAAGAGAUUAAGCACCAGGAAUCAUGAAUCACAAGUUGGAGGGCAAAUUGAUAUCAAUAAAUCAAAAACACAUAAUUAAUCAGCUAUAUACAAACCCUAGGUUCAGAUAAAGAAAACUAGCCAGACAUGCUAAAAUAAAACAUAAACAUAAUUAAAUAGAAUGCAAUUAUAAAAACUAAAUGUAUAAAACCCGUAAUAAAACGAUUGUAGCGGCUUGAAUCUUCAAUCUUGAUCCAAGCCUUGAAAACUGGAAAGCUAAAGUAUUCUAAAAGCUAAAAACUGAAAUAUGAAAGCUGGGAACUGAACAACUAAAGCUGGGAACCCCCUAGAUAGGUCAAAAGAGGACCUAUUUAUAGUCUUAGGGUAAAAAAACAAAGUUCAAAACCGAAAACACCUCGAAAAACGUAAAAAACGCGGAAGAAACGAAACACGCGCCCCGUUCGGCGAUCGCCGUCUGGGUCGCCGAAAAUCAGCCUUUUUACUCUAAGAUUCGGCGAUCGCCGAAUUUUCCACCGGAGGCUAAAAUUGAAACAGGGAAUUCGGCGACCUGGCCGGCGGUCGCCGUUUGGGUCGCCGUUUUUCUUCUUUAAACUGCCAAUUUUCGGCGGUCGCCGUUUAGGUCGCCGAAUUUUGACUGCUGCGCGCGAUGUUUUUGUUUCGGCCAUAACUUUCUCGUCCGAACUCCGAUUUAUGAUCCGUUUGCGCUCACGAACUCGUAUCGAGACGAUCUACAACUUCUAUUUCAGAAUAAUGUUCCAAAUUCGAACUCAAUAAAUCUGCAAAUUCCUUCAAAGUUCGAGUAAGAAUCAUGUUUCACAAGAUAAAGCAAAUUAAGCACAAAACAAUCAUCCAACACUCAAUUUCCUAUAAAAUUAACAUCAUAUGAAUAUUAAAAAACCAUGGAAAUAUGAGUGUUAUCAGUCAUAUACAAACACGACCCACUAAUAAUCUGCUCAACAUGAACACGACACGAUUUUCACAUAUACGUACACACACGAACACGAUAGCAUCACGAUUCAAUUUGUGUUUGACACGAUACGAUAAUGAAAUGAUUCAAUAAAAGCUUGAAUUGUGAGUCAAGAAGAAGAAUAACUUAGUUGUGCUAACAGUGUAAUAAAAGAAAGUCUCAACUCAACCUAACUGUGCAUAACUAUAAAAUAGGAAUUACAAUAAUUAUUUAAUAAAAAUAAUACUCACUCCGUCCACGAAAAUAUGACCUAACUUGUCAUUUUUUGUCCAUCCGCGAAAACAUGUCCUAACCUACUUUUAGUAAUGAUUUGACUAAUUUGUGGGCCACUUUCUCCACUCACUAACUUAUGAGUCAUUUUCUCCACUUACUAACAUAAUUAAUUUUUCCAUUUUUCUUUUUAAUUCGUGGGACUCUUUCUCCCCUCACAAAAUGAAUAACACAAGUUUUCGUGGACAAAUAGAGUAAUAUUAAUUAGGGUAAUUGCCUAUAAAUCCAUGACGUUUACACGGAAUUGGUUUUUUAACCUAAUUUUAUUUUUCUACUUUUAAAUCCAUAACCUUUCGUUUUUGUCUCAAAUUUAUUCGGUGACCGAUUUUUUCUUACGUCGGCGUCGAAAAUAACACGGUGGCAGCCGGAAUUGACAUGGUGGCACAUUUGUGACAUGUGGCAAAAAAAAUAAUAAAAAAACAAAAAAAAUCCAAAUCAUCAUCUUCCCAACCUAAUUCACCCUUCUUCCCCCUUUCCCCCACCCGCUUGCCUCACUCCAACGAGACCCCCAAAAUCGAUCAGAACCUUCAGCAGCGGGAGAAGAAGAAGGACGCCGCCGCGCAUUCAUCUUCAUUGUCGGAGCCGGAGUCGGCCUCCGAAUCAGAGCUGGAUUCUCGUUCCACCUCCGAGCCGGAUUCGGCCGAGGAUCGUGGCGCGAAGAAGCGGAAGAUCAAUGCCGUCGAUCGUGGAUCUGACGGCGUGGUUUCAACUCGGGUGGAGGAGAAUUCGCCAUUUCGGCCUCAAUUUUGAGAAUUGGAGGAGAGCUUUUGGUGUCUGACAAUUGUGCUUUUGUGCGCGGUGAAAACGAAUUUUCUAUUUUGGGAAUGUUGGAAUUCCAGAAUUUGAAUGGGGAAGGGGGUUUCUUUGUGGAAGUGGCAGAGCCGAGGUGGGGAAAGGGGGAGGGUGGACGGUCGCUGGUGUAAAAAUCGAGUCUUGCAUCUCUCAUUUUUCUGUCGAGAUUUCAGCCACCAUAAUCGAAAGACCGACCGCGUUUCGUCUGUCUUCUCCCCAUUCUCAAAUUGAUUCUGAGCCCUGCUCUCUUCCUCCAUUUGGUUCAGUCGUCGUCGUUCUCGAAUCCUUGGUCGUUGUUCUGGAUUUGGGCAGAGAAGGGUACUCGGUCGUUGCCGUCGUUCUCGGAUUUCAUCGAGGCAGGAGCAGCAUCGAGGUGGGGGAAGGGGAGAGAGCGGUGGAGGGCGGCGACCGUCGGUGUGUGGAGGUGGCAGGGGGCGGCGCCGGAUGGGGGAGGGGGAAUUAAGGUUUGGGGUUGGGGAAGGGGGAAGAAGACGAUUUGGGGGGGGGAUUUUCCUUUAUUUUUAUUUUUGUUUUAAUUUAUGCCACUUGUUAAAAAUAUACUUAGGUGUAAAUUCUGGCUGUCAUCUCAUCAAUUCCGGUUGGCACCGUGUUGUUUCCGACAUCGGCGUAAGAAAAAACUGGUCACCAGAUAAAUUUGAGAUAAAAAUGAAAGGUUAUGGAUUUAAAAGUCGAAAAAUAAAAUUAGGUACAAAAACCAAUUCAGUGUAAACGUUAUGGAUUUACAUGCAAUUAACCCUAUUAAUUAUAACAAGUUAUAUGAACCAGACACUAAAUUAUCGUGUCCUUAUCAUGCUGACAAGAUAAGAACAUAAAUGCGAUAAAGCUUGACACUAACUCAUUAAUUUUUUAUGUGUUCAUAUUGUGCUUUUGUGUUGUGUCUAAAAUUGCCAACCAUAAUCGAAAUAGCUUAAAAUCUACAAAAGCUUGAACUAGGAAAACUCGCAUUCACCCUCGACACCACUACGACCAUGGCCAUAUUUUUCUUCAAGUAAUUCUCAGUUAACCAACUUGGUUAUUUGUGUUGGAUAUACAGUGCUUGUAGACGUAUUACAAAUGGAAUAGAAAAUGUAGAAGAUCAGAUUAUAAGAAAUACUCCCUCCGUCCGUCACAAGUGGGGCACUUUAAUUGGGCACGAAAUUUAAUAAUAUUGAUGAUGAUUUUGAUGUAGUAGAGAAAAAGUCCCACCACUUUAUGAGAUGUGUGGUUGAGAUUGAAUUUGAGGUGAAUUUUUUUGUAAAUAAAGAGUGUUUGUAAGGUUAAAAGAUUAAAGUGGAUGGUGAGACCAUUUCCUUAAAAGGAAAGUGGAACACUCUUUGCGGACGUCCGAUAUAGUAAUUGUGCCCCACUUUUGGCGGACGGAUGGAGUAAAACAGAAUUCAAAUUACAGUAAAUGACAACCGUAGGAACAGAUUAGUCGACUUGAGGAGAAUCGUCUGUCCGUAAGACAAGAUACACAUCGGUAGUGCUCUCGAAUUAAGGUGUGUUGUUAGUGGAAUAAGGGUCUCACCUUUUAUGUGAGUAUUAAAAUAAUUAAAAUGAAGUAAGGGUCCCACAUACUUUCACUAAAAUAGAAAUGGAUACUAAAAUAUGAGACAACCAAAAAAGGAAAGUUAGAUACUAAAAGUUGGGACGAAGGGAGUAUAUUAUAUAGAUUGCAUUUUCCACAAUUUCAUAUUUAAAAUAACAAACUUUAAAUAAUUAUUUUUGCUUAUCGAAAAUCAUUUUUGAGUAAAUAAAUAUAUUACGAUUAUCUACUCAAAACGUAAAUCGAUCUCAUAUCAUUUAAUUCAGUUAAAUUAAAUAUUUUUAUUAUUAAAAAAAAUGGAAAAUUGCAUGUAAAUACACAAACUUUACCAAAAAUCCAUAUUGGCGUGAGGUUAGGAUUUUACAAUUUAAUACACCAAUUUAAUAAGUUGUCUAAUUUUAACACAAUUUUAAUUUUCGGUGACCGGGAAAUCUGACGUGUCGAUUACGUGUCAACUACUUAUCCAGCGUGGCAUUGAAGAAGAAAAAACGGUGUCGUCUCAGCCCACUGUUUAAGCCCCCUUUAUCUCUUUUUUCUCUCUCCAUCUCAAAUCACGUUCUCUCUCUCUCAAUAUCCUCAAAGAGCGGAGAAACCCCACUUAUCUGACCUCCUCAUCCCCCGUCGCAGCCGGCGGAGCGAGAGACUGAGGGCGGCAACGGCGGCGGCGCGGUGGCUUGAAAUUGGGGAUCUUGCUCUGUGUGUUAUUAUGUGCGAGUUCAGGGAUAUAGAGGGGAAGGGACAGAGACGUCGGUGGUGGCCGAGGGAGGCGAUGCCACCGGGAAUCGAUGGUGGACUGCGAAUCAAUAGGAAGAAUGCGAGGUUUCCUGAUCGCAAGGAUCCCAACCACUGAUUUUCGAGGUAUGGAGCUCAAAUCUGUUGUGGAUGGCACGCGGAGGAGGUCCGAUUGAUUGUGGCGGAAUGGAUUCAGAGAUUUUCAGAGGUCUUCACCGAUUUUUUUACGGAGAUGGUAAUAGAUUGAGGAGAGAGAGAGAGGCGAUCGAGAACUUCAAAUUACCCAGAUUUUUCCAAAUUGGUGGAAGAUUCCCGUCGAUUUGGAGAGAAUGGCCGGUGGUGGAGAGAAUGGCUCAUUUUUUUCAAUGAACAGUAGUUGGAGAAGAACAAACUCAUCGGCGAACGGAGUGGCGCGUGCCGGCGAGACACGUAGGCGCCACGUCAGAUUUUAAUUUGGAGGAAAUGAAAAAUGUGUCAAAAUUGAACAACUUCUUAAAUUGGUGUAUUAAAAUGUAAAAUCCUAACUUCGGAUCAAAUAUGAAUCUUCGCAUCAAAUGUAAAAAAUUAAUCAAACAUGGAUCCGUCUCCAAUUUCCGAUAAUUUGGUGGUUGUUGGUUUUAUUUUAUGGGUGGCUGCACCGUUGUGUGAAAUGAGAUUUUAUUUGAGAAAACGUCAAUGGAAGUGCUUGGAAUCAGCCUCUAUCUUUUUUUGCUUAGCUCUAUUAUGGCUUUAUUGUGGGGAUGCUGUCCUAAGGGCGCUACCAAGCAAGUCGGGAAAGGGGGGAUUUCUAAUACCUCUAUAAAGCAAAGGUUACGACAUCCUGCUUCUAUCUCCACUCCCGGGGAUGCAGCUGGUCUUGCGAUGACGGCGGUCUCUUCUCAACGUUGGGGGGACAUCAUGGAUUCUGAUAUUCAACCGGUCUAUCCUCAACGUUGGGGGGACAUCAUGGAUUCUGAUAUUCAACCGGUCUAUCCUCAACGUUGGGGGGACAUCAUGGAUUCUUAUAUUCAUACGGAGGAUGAUGCUCUUGAAUUUUGAUUGUCAUGGGGUUCAUGCUAUGGAGCUCCUGCACAUUUCUUGACUCUUUUUUCCUAUCACGGUGUUUUUCCCUAUGGGUCCUCGCCGUUAUGGUUUCGUAGCCCGUUAGUUUGCGUCUGUUGUGCCUUCAACGGGUUUUCUUUGUUACUUUCGUUUUUCUUUUCUCAAUAAAAUUUCAAUUCAGCAGUGGGGAUGCUGUCUUUUUUCUACCACCUCUAUCACAAUUCCACAAACUGUUUUUCAUCGCCAUGCUUCAUGUCUGUAUCUCUUGGUUGUAUUUAUUUCAAGAUUAUAUGCGUCUCUUGUCCUAGGUGUUACUUAUUGUGAUUGUGUAGCUAAUUUCAAAUAGAUUUAGAUUUUGUGUUCCAAUUUUAGUAUAAUUUAAAGACAAUUAAUUAGGAUUACUAUUUCAGUUAAGGUUUGCAAUUAUUUUUUAUAUCUAUUUUUAAUUUUUUAAAUAUAUUUAAUUUUUAAUUAGGAUUUACAAAUUUUAUUUUCAAAAUGAAUACUUAUAAAAUAGUGAAAUUAAUAGUCGGACACGACGUCACACUAUAAGCUAUGGAAGAUGAUUUCAACAGAGGAUAUUUGGAUGAUGUGACAAAUAUUUUAAUGAGUUAGUUUAAAUUGAGAAGAUUAUAUGUUAUUUUAAUUGUCACGGGGAAGAAAAUUGUUACAAAAAUUGAAUUGGAACGUUAAAUUAUUUAAAAUAUAAUUUUAGUAUUCAUUUUACUUAUUAUAAUUCUUUAUUUAAAAGUUAACAAAAAUAUUUAUAUAAUUACUAUUUUGUUCCUAUAUAGUCUCUUAAAAAUCUUAUAAAACAAAUCCUAAAGAAAUAUAGUCCCGUUCAUAUAUCAGGAGCAUAUCUUUCGAUUUUUUUAUAACCUACAAUUAUUCGUUUUCUAUAACUAAGAGGAACUGGACUGAAUUUAUGUCCUGUUCAGUCGUAUGAUUGAGAAAAUAUUUUAUUUCUAUGCAAUAAAAAUGAUUUAAUCAACAUGAAUUACUUAACAUUCAAAUCGCUCCUAAUGAAAACUAGCUAUGACCUAUCUAUUCAAUCAAUAUAAGGGCAUCCACAUCGGCUUAUGCAUUCGAAGGGAUUCGAGUUAUUUUUCGGAUGAGUAAGCUGAUGUAGGUGGCUACUUAUUCGAGCCUUAUUCAUUCAGAUGAGUAAGGCUCGUCCGUCUUUAUGUAAAACGUGUGCAUGCACGCGCCAUUUUUAAGGGGACUCGAGUCUGAGCAUCCACAAUGGAGAGUAAGGGUGGGCUCUUAAACGUUGUUCACAUCAUUUAAGAACCCACCUCCACUAUGGAAGCGCCAACCCUUGGCUCUUAAAUUUGUAAGGGGAGAGGGGGCUCGGAAAUGGAAGGUGCAUAACACGCGCCCAUCCAAAUACACUUUUGAGCCCGGAGCGCUGGAGCGGGGUGGGUGCGCGAGCUGACGGUGCGGCAAUAAUGGAGGGCGCGGAAAAUUGGGUCUUGAGCCGAAAAACAAGCCCCCAUUGUGGAUGCUCUUACUCAACAAAUGUAGGGGAUCGAGUCAUAGCUUAUUCAUUCAUUUUUUAUAUGAAUGAGUCGAUUUGUGAAUGAGUCGAUCAAUAUAGGUUACUAACUCAUAAGUGGUUCACUCUUUAAAUAAGUAAGCUACUUAAUGAACGAACACGUGGAUGCCCUAAGUAAAUUAAGAACACCAAUAUAUUUAUAUUUUAAGUGAAUCAUGAAAAAGAAAGAUCGGAAGAUAAUCUCGUGAAAUGACGACUAUAUCUCUUAGAAACUAUUUUAUUUUUUAUUACUGUGCAAUUCUAGAGUGGGGCCAUAAGGAUAAUAUAGUAAUGAUAUAAAUAUAUUUUAAAUAAAAAGACUACAGGGAGUAAAAUAAGAAUACACUAAGCUACCACCUAUCGACAUAAUAAUUUUGAACUAAGGCAAUAUUGUAUUAUUAUCUUAUAAAUGAAAUUAAAUUUUAAGGUGGAGAACGAAUUAUAAAUCUUGAAAUUUCAAUAACGAAUUACCAAAUUCAGACCACAAAUUCAUUGAUACAAUAAAGCAUGUUGAGGAGCACGAAUUAAUGUAGUGGGGUUAGGUGUACACUUUUUAAUUGAAGUUUGAAAAUUGUAGUAAGAUUUAUAUUUCUUAAUAUUUUUAGGUUAUUUUGGAAUACAAAGAUACGAUAUAUUAGGGAUUUGGAAAUGAAAUCUGAACCCUGUUCGAGAACAAGUGGAAUUGAAAUAAGGUACAAAAUAAAUCACAUCUGUCAUAUUAAAUCGUGAAUAAUUUAUAUAUAAAGAAGGAAAAAUAAGGAGUUUAUUUAAAAAAUGAGGAAUAAAUGAGCAACGUGGCAGUGUGAGGCCCGGGAGCAGCUUAGGAAAGCGACAGUUGUGCCAUGUUGGCACCGGUUGAUCUUGGCCGUUGGAUGAAGAUUCGAUCGGACGGCGCAUCAGACGUUUCGAGGGCGAGAGAGAAAUCGAUGCCGUCCAACCCGGCUCAGGAGUAGGUUUCGCGUGAGAGUUAAAAAUAACAACAAACUACAGAUUAGAUGAGACGAGAGAAGAGAGAGAGCGCACAAAAAGUGAAAAAUAGGAGAGAGCACACAAAGCAAUAAGAGAGAGGAGAGAGAUUUUCAACGAAUUCAGUUUCGUUUUGUGUGAAUCUCGGAGUGUGCUUGCAGUUUUUCGGAAUUUCAUUUCAUCUGAUUCUGUUCAUUCCACCGGCGACAAUGGUGGAAAUCCGGUGAAUUAUGAGAUUCACGGGAGGAGAUUUGCCGUGAUGGAGAGGAACAGAGAUUUACGAAGAGCGACUGUCUCGGCCGCGAACGGUUUGCCGAGAAGACGGCAAAGGAUUACUACUCUCAGAGACUCAACCGGUGAGAAAAAAUCCUUCGGAAAUCUCUAGAUUCGAUAAUUAUUUCGAUUUUUAUUAUUUUGUGGUUUUGUAAUCCUUGUUUUUGGAUUUUUACAGAGCAGGAUAGACAGAUGGAAUUGCAGGAAACAGUGGGGUUAGGAGAUCGAGAGCAGUUACAGAAGAAGGACCGGGAACGAGAGUUUCCUAAGAGAAGAAGAAUCGAUAGGUCUGCGGCGCAGCAGAGAAGUGAUGGCGGUGAGAGUUGCAGAGAGAACGAGAGUACGGAUUCGAGUGACGAAGAGUACUAUGAGGAGGAAGAGGAGAUGAGGAUUCAUCAGCAUAAUAGGGUAAAUCAAUUCUCGCCAACGUCUUCUUCUCUGUCAAAUAAUCGCCGGGGCCUCCGCACACUCCGGUCAUCGCCGGUUCUGAGAGCCGCCGCCGAUGAAAUGUUCGGUGUUCCCGUACCGCGAAGAGCUCGCUCUUGUAAGUAUUCGGAAUAUGUGGUCAAGUCGUCACCAUCAUCCUCUUCUUCUUCUUCUUCUUCUUCUUCUUCUUCUUCUUAAUGUUGUUGAUUGCCUUGGUCAGUUUUAAUUUUUAUUUUCUAUAGCUUCGGCGAAGAGGUUGCAAGAGUACUGCAAUUUAGGCAGUGGAGGCUUUGGCGAGGACUUGAGCCAUCGGAGAUUUUCGCCGUCGCCUGCGGCGGUGAAUCUGAUUGGUUCUGGUGACUCAAUGAAGAAGAAGAUGGUUAGUUGGUUUUCAGAUUUUGUUAUUCCUACGACUUCAUUUUUGUUUUGGAAUAAGCGCUUUGAUGCGACGGCUAACUGACGUGGAAAUUACUUGGCAGAAAUCUUCAGAGCGAAGAGCGCCGAUUCAAAAUCCCAAUCAUUCGACGAUUCAAGAUGAUAUUGAGAUCGAGGUUGCUGAAGCGCUGUUCGAUCUGAUGAAACAAUCUCAAUCGCAAUCCCAAUCCCAAUCCCAAUCUUCGCAAAGACAAGAAAAGCUUGACAGAGAUAGAUUGAACACAGCUGGCGACGGUAAUUUUUUGUGAUUUUUAUUCCGAUCUAUAAUAAGAGUGAGCGAACAAUUGUUAUUGCAAAAGAUUUUUUCGUAACUGUGGAAUUGGUGGAUUACAGAGUUAAAGAUAUCAAAAGCUGAUGGUGGCAAAGAUGAGAAUAAUGCCUUUUCAGUUCAAAAUGAGCCAUCAGUAAAAGUGAAUGCUGGAACAGAUUUGGGCGACUCGAUGAAAGAGCUAAAGAAAGAAGGAAGGGUUGAGAAAGAGAGAUUUCCGGAUGACCCAGCUCAAGAAUUAGUGAGUGGAGAUGGGUUUGUGAAUAAAGUUAAAGUGGGGUCUCCAAAAGAAAGCGAAUCGCCAUCAUGUGUUAAAGUAAAUGCUUGUGAUAUUCAGGAUCCGACAUUGACAAAAGCGUGAGCAUCCCUAAUUUUUGUUUCCAUUAGUUAAUUAUAUUUAUUUCAGCCGAGUUUCUCUCUCUCCUCUUACCUCUUCUAACGGCAUUUAUGGUUGGGCUGGCCGGAGCAGGCAUUAUGACGCAAUUAUUGUUGAGGCUAAGAAGGAAACUAAGCUGGAGAUUGAUUUGAUGGUGAGUACCUCAAUAAAGGGUUUUUUUUUGGCUUAUGAUUCUCAAAUUCUAAUGACUUGUCGACAGUCAUCUCCCUUGCCGUCUUCGCCGGAGAGAGAGGGAUUGGUCGAUAUGGGGACUGAUCAUGGCGUGAUGGCUCAAGCUGGUCGAAAGGCAUACUGAUUUUUUUUAAUGCGCAUUUCUUUCUAAUUCGGUUCUUGUUGUUUUUUUUUUUCCUCUUUUUUAUUUGUGGGGUAGAUUGACUGAUGUUUUUGUACUUCUAAAUCCGAUGCAGAAGAGCGAGGUUGCUGCUAAGAAUGGUCGCUUGGCAGUUCCAUCUGGAAUGCAGGGAGAGAAGAUUGGAGCUGUUAAUAGCGAUCAACAAUCAAACCUUGAUGUUGAGAAGAAUAGCCAUCAGCAGCAAGGUCGGAAGGAGAAUAAAAAUCAAUGUAACCCAUAUUGAAUAUUGAGUAUUUUUGGUUUCAAGAAUUUGAAUACAUGAAAUUUACUAAGGUAUUGAUUGCUUGAUUGUCCGUUCUACUGCAGCACCAACUUCCUUGUUGCCUUUCCCUAUUGGUAUGAGUAGCUGGCCUGGUGUUCUUCCUCAUCCAGGGUGUGUAACGUAUAAUCUCAUUUCUUCUUUCUUUUUAAUUUCUGUGGCCAUUGCUGAAUUGUUUCAUAUGUAGAUUUAUGCCGCCUGUGCAAGCUAUGCCUAUAAAUGGAAUCGCAAAAUCUUCAUUGAUAAUGCAGGUACUUUACAAUUUACACGGUGUCUUUGAAGCCGAUGCUCAUCUUAUUUGCUUCAAUUGGAUUAUUACAUUUUUCUGAAACUGUGCAGCCCCCUCAAUUUAAAUUCUCCCAGCCUCGACCAAAGAGAUGCGCCACACAUCAAUACCUGGCGCAAAGCAUCCAUUACCACCAGCAGCUCAUCAAGAAAUCUCUAUCAACUGGUCCCACUGGUUUGUGUGGAAGCAAGUCACCGAGCCUAAAAUAUACAUCACCGGCACAAAAUUUCAUCCCCGCAAACCCAUUUCUCGGAGAGUUUCAAGGAGGGCAGAAUUUAGCAACUAGUUCUGUUGGAGGUGGAAAAGAUAAGAGCUCCGAUGCUGCUGUGGCUUUAAAUGCCUCAAGCACUAAGUCUUCUUUUCAACAAGCUUCACACCCAGUCUCAACUUCUAGUUUCUUGGUAAGCUUGUUACCCCCGUUUGUUCUUUGAAUUGUUCACCAUAAUUACAAUGCUAAAUUUAGAAUCUUAUGGUCGUUUUCUUGAUGAUUGUAGCAUGGCCACGGUUUUCUAUUGCCUUUUGGGCACCAUCAAACAACAAUGAUGGCACCAACUAAUUCUUCUGGGUCUCCUCAAUCUGCAACCUCAGCUUCAAAUGCAACUUUGCUGUCUACUUCAGCUGGGCGGCUUCCGGUCAACUUUCCUUUACCUAAUGCAUCAACUGCUUUGAGUUUGAACCAUCCUAUGUUUCCUUCAAAUGAAGCUUCCCCAUACAUGACCAUACUACAGAACAAUGGUUGCUCGAUCCCUAUUUCAACAAACAUUUCUAUGCCUCCCUUUAAAGGAGGAUCACACUCAAUGCCCUUCUUUAACUCUUCUUUGUAUCCGUCCCCACCAUUUAAUCAGCAGCAGUUCACCGCUUCUCAUGCUUCAGCCCAGUCAGCUUCUCAAAAUACCAACUUGUCAUCACAAAGACAACCACAGUCCAAUGCUAAAACCAGUGAGAAUAAAUUCCCUACUUCAGUAACUGCAAAUCUGCAGUCAGAGAAGCCUUCCUACUCAUCCAGCAAGUCUGAUGCUGAGAUUAAUUGGAAAAAUGGCUUUGUGUCUCACUCAGCAAAACCUAGUAAUUCACCACAACCAAUGAACUAUGCAACGUUUCAACCUGGACCGGUUGGUGGUGCUGCUGCUGGUAAUAAGCAAAUUGAUCCUCCUCAACAGGGUUCCAAGGGUAGAGUCGAGCUGAUUCCUCAGGCAUAUGCUUUCUCUUUUGGUUCAAAUGCUUCUGCAACCCCAGUGCUCAACUUCUCAUCCAUGGCGCAGAGCACCGGUAUGUUUCAGAUGCUUCCUGACAUGUCUAUGAAUGCUAACCAGAAGAAUUUCCAGACGUCCGAAGUGAAGUCUGUAGCCAGCGGUGGUCAAUCUUUUAACUACUCGAGAUCAGAUUGCUCAGAGAUAUCAGCCCUCUCCACCAUGGGACCUCCCAAGUUUGAUGGUUUAGCUCGAAAUAUGAAUUUUCUUCCAUCCUCCCUCAGCGGCAGCCAAACAUUUCAGACGUCGUCUGGUGUUUCUGCCCCGAAUUUUCAGCAGCAUCAGCUGAUUCAAGUCCAGGAUCACCACAUGCAUCAAAUGCAUUUAGGGCGAACAGGUCAAGUUAAGUCUUCAACUCCUCACGACAUUCAUGGCUCUUUCCCUAUGUUAGCGCCAAAUGAGGCUCCAUCGUUCCACGCCAAAUGGGAGAAUUUCCCUAGAAGCGCAGCUCCUGAGUCUGCCACCUCAAACAUCCCUCAACUCAAAUAUUCUCAAGGCCAAACUCAUAUAAGUUUUGGUAAUGGUCCAUUUCAAGGACACCAUCAGUUUGUGAUGAAGAGCGAGUCUUCCAUGUCAAGAAAUGCGUCUUCCGUGGGCUCAACAACUCCACCACUACCCUCCCAAGAGGGAGAAGGCCAGAAGUCGUCAUCCCCUGCUUGCAGACGGAACGUGCCAUCGAUUCUAAGCACAUGUCCCAGCCAACUGCCGGAGCUCAAGUACUGAUGGUUUCUUGCAUCCAUGAAAGAAAAGAGCGGCUUUUCUGUGGAGAGGUAAGAUUUCAUUGCUUCUGCAAUAAUGAAGAUACUACUAUGUCAUUAUUAAUCAGAAGCUAUUAAAGCCACUGUGCCGUGGCUCUACGGCUGAGCGGGGCAAUUCAAAAUUUGAAAUGUGGUUGGUGGAAGAGGAAGAGGAGGAAGAAGAAGAAGAAAAAGAGGAGUUGGAAUAAGUGAAGGUGAAUCAAAGUAGGAAAAGCAGACUGUUUUGUUGAAAUUUUUGGAGGGUUGCAAUUUUGAUAGUGUUAUUUAUCAGUGGGCUUCCCUUGCUACUAAUCCGAUUGGUUUGGAUGCGACACUCAUGUGUUGUAUGUAUAGACUAAUCUGUUACAUAUCAUCAAUACAUAUAAAAUUCCAUUCUUUCAAUAAUCUGUUUUUCCAAAGGGCGAGUGGGGCCUCUGGUAUACUAUAUAAUUCAAAAGAAAGUUAAAAAAGAGGUGUUCUGUUCUGCUUUUUAUUUUUUUCUAAUGUUGACAUCUUAUAUGGUGUUGGUUGGUUGGUCGCCCACUUUUUUUGGUUUUUUGGGCUACUUAAUUAAUGUUUUCAACAUGACAUGUCAGCCUCAAAACGUUAAUUUAUGUUUGAAAUUUUAUCCCAAGUUGGCGUAUUGCAAUGGUUAAAGGUGGAAUUGUUUUUGUUCUCUUUUUUCUUGAGACUCAUUUGUCAGCAUUCAACAAGUUGUAUGCAUAAGAUUCAAACAUAUCUAAUGCAUUUGUUUUCAUACGCACGCGCGCACAUGUGUGAUUGGCUCUUCGUGGUCUUGGCGUCGACUGCGACACACACGUCAACUAGAUCAAUUCUUCAUUUGACAAACACUAAAUUAAUUUUAGAAUAAACGUUUAUCUUGAGUGAUUAACUAUUUUUAGUUUUAAAGGUGUGCUUUCUAUGAUUAUAAAUUUAUCAGGAUAAAAAAAAUUUAAAAAAUUUAUUCUUUCCAUCUUUUUCAUCUCAUGAUCUUUAAGGUGAAAGUUACCACAUUAGUAUAAGGAAAAUAUUAUCACAUCAAUUCCUCGUAAUACUAUUAUGAUGAAUUGGAACGAAAAUGAGAGAAAAAGGGGUGCCUGAAUUUUUUUCCAUCAUGCCUAUGAAAAAUUGUCAUUCUUACAAAACAUGUGAAAAUUGAUGAAACAAAAAUUACGAGAUAAGUAAAACAACGAAGAACACGAGAAUUUACGUGGUUUGAUCAUUAAGAUCUACAUCCACGGGUGGAUUUUGAAAAAAUUUCACUAUACUUUGUGUGUUUACAUUUUACAUGGUGAUGAGUGAAUUGAGAAUUCCCUAAAUUAAUAAUAAAAUGUCCUACUUAUAGCCAUAAGAGUAAACCUAGGGCACGUGGGCCUAUUUAAUCCCUAAGGCCCAUUAAUUUAAAUAAUUGGGCCUAAGCCCUUAUUACACGGGUCAUGUGCUUGGAGUUGAGUCGUUGAGCUGCCAAGAUAAUUCUCAAUUGAUAAGGUCAGCCCUGUCAAGUCAGCGUUGCACAAAAUAUUUGAAAUAAUAAUAAUAAUUGUGUCAUAAUAAUAAUAUAAAAGAAAGAUUUUAGCCAUAUUAAUUGCACAGCAUUGAUGCAGAUUUUACUCCUCAUCAACUACUCCCCCUUGGUCAACAAUAAAUGAGUGUUUCUAACGAAUUUCUUGUUGCUUUGUGACCUUUGAUUGUUAGCCAUGAUAUUUAGCUCCGCCACUCGUUAAGACGAGAUGUUUUACUUGCACAUAGCAAAUUCAAAAUACUUAGCCUGCAACCUUGUAACUCGUCAAAAUAAAAAAUAUAUAUAUAUCAAUUUUGUAAAACAAUAAAGAUAAAAUAUUCUGGCACUGCACAUUGUCAACACAUAAGAAUUUUCGGUGCUGCCAAUAAAUAAAGAUAAAAAAUUUUCCUUAAUUUUAGAGUCGUGGUCGCAAACUUGAUUUCCCCCUUGAUUCUUGAACAUCGUCAAACGUGAUCAACUUUCAUUUCUUGCGCCGAUACUUGCCCUUGAUUCUUCCAAGAAUUUCACUCAUCUUUGGAUGAGGUGGAGCCAACUUUGCCAUUGCCUAUUUUUCAACAUAUACUCCUCUUUAGAUGAGGUGAAUCAAAUUUUGCCUUUGGACAUCUUCCACAUAUUUUGGAGAUGUGAAAUCAGCUUUUUCCAUUGGGCAUUUUUUUCAACAUAUUUUCGUUCCUCUUUAGGGGAGGUGAAAUCAAAGAGAAUGAGAAUGCACCCUAAGAGAAUAAUGCACCCUAAGUGAGAAAAAAAUUGGUGAAAAUAUAUGUUAUUAAGCCUUUUCCAUCAAAGAUAAUGCACCCUAAUAGAAGAAUUUUUUUAAUGCCACAUUUUCAGUGGGAUAUAAAUGAAGUAAAAUUAAUUUAAAUCUUAGAAAUAAUCAAGAGCUUUGAAAUAUCACAAAAUUUCAAUUCACCUAAGUAAAUUAGAAAUUAAUCUUACUAUUUUUAUCUAUUAAAAAGUUAAUACUCAAAAGUAGACACCUUUAAGUGCUUUAAAAAUAGUUACUUCCUCCGUCCCACGAAUUUUGAUGCAUUUGUUUUCGGCACGUGAAUUAAGGAGUUGUAGAUUAGUGUUUUAAGUGUGUAGGUAAUAAAGUAGAAAAGUGAUAAAGUAGAAGUGUGUAGGUAAUAAAGUAGAAAAAUGAUAAUUAAGUAUAAUUAAGAACCCCUUAUUUUUUAGCUAAUUAUUACUAUAGUUAGAAAUGCAUUAAAAUUCGUGGGACGACCCCAAAAAAAAUAUGCAUCAAAAUUCGUGGAACGGAGGGAGUAAUAUUUUGAUAGUGUAUAUGAUUUAUUUAUCUAUUUAUUUAUUGUUGUUUCGAAAUAAGGGAGCGAUAGAGUUUGAUUUCUAUAUUUCACUAUUUACGUAUUAAAAUUUGCAUUUAUUUGAAUAUUCUUUGGAGACUCGAUAAGUUUGUAUCAUUUGAAUGUUUUCAUAGAGACUUGAUAAUAGUGUAUAUGAUUGCUCGGGUCAAAUGAAAAAGUAUCACGAAAAUUAUACUCAGUCCGUUCCAUAAAAAUAUGCAUAGUAUAAGAUGGCACGAAUUUUAAAAAAUCAUGUAAAGUAUAAUGUGAGUGGAAAAAUGAUCACAAUUGAUUGUGUUUAAUGGGAGAAUUAUUACUAUAAAUAGAUUAUACAUAUUUUUAUGGGAUCGAAACGGACGAAAAAGGAAAAUUAUGUAUAUUUUUUAUGGGACGGAAUAAGUAGUUAUUCAGUCGCAUCAAUAAAUCAUCUAUUAUAAAGACAUAAAAAUAGUUGAACGUGAGUAAAUAUGCAUACUUAUCGAAUUAUCGAAUUUUUUAAAAAUAAUAUUCAAAUCAAAGCACAUUUAUUUCGUCUAUCAAAUUGAAUUAAUUGAAAUAACCAAAAUAAUUAUCUUAAUUAUUUCGAUCAUUCCGAAUUUUCUUCAAAAACAAUUAAAUACACUAAACCAAAAACUUGUUCUACAAAUAAACAAAUUAACUAGGCAAAUAAAUGUAUAUCAAUAUAUGUAUUUAUAUAUAAUUAUUGGUAAUUCUAAAGAAAAAUAAUUCAUACACAUCCAAUUACUACUAAACUACCAAAAUUUUAAUUUGAUUUUAAUCAAGUUAAUCGAACCAAAUUUAAAAUUUCGAUUUGAUUUGUUUCAAUUUUUUGAUUUUGGAGAAAUAAGCUCACCUCUGUUAGAAAGACUAUCCUUUAUAAGAGGUCUUGAGCCCAUUAACUCAUAGGAUAUAUCCUAUAAGUAUAGUUUAUGUAACACUCUCAAGGUUUGCUUAUGAACUUACUUGAGCUUAAAUAAGAUUUGUAAAAAUAGAUUUAAGUCUAAAUAAAAAGUCCUUCUGUAAAAACAAGUACUUUCUAAUAAUAUCUGUUUAAAUUUAUAUAUAUAAAUAUAUUUUAGAAAUUAAAAUCAAUAAAUAUUUAAUAUACUUGGUAUAAUGUAAUAAUUUUGCAUUAGCUCCGAGCUAAUUUGAUCAAUAUUCCUUUUCGAAUUUCGACCAUUCCAAUUAAAUUGAUCAAUUUCCUUAUAUGAACUAAAUAUAAACAAGGAAACAUCUAAUCACUUAUUCACUUUAUCACCAAACACACUUUUUAUUUAGGCGUACCACCAAACACAUUUAAAACACUAGUUUCUUAAAUUUCGUAUCGAAAAAAAAAAUUGAUCAACUUAGUUGGGACGCUUCAAACUUAAACUAAUUUAGCUAUUGAGCUUCUUUAAACGAGCUUUUAUGAAGAUGAGAUCCAAAUAGCUCACAAGUGGCUCUGAAGACCCACUAAUUGGGCUUUCCAUAUCCACCAAAAAAAUGGCAUUUCCUUAACGUUUAGCACGAACAUCUUUGUAAUUCCGAUUAAUUAUCAUUUCACUUGUCAAAAUAAAAAUACAGCCAUUUCACAACCCAAAACCUAAUAAAUUUAGUACUCCAUUAAUCAUCAAGAACAAGUAUAGCCAUCAAAACUAAAUAUAAAUUCUUUUAACCAUGCAAAUUUAUUCUACAGCUACAUCCCUCAAUACAGAUGGCUUUUUUAGGUAGUUCAAACUGUAAUUUAGACUUGAGAUCAGAACCAUCUAUUUUCCCAAGAGAGAAGCCAAGCUCACCACGACGUCUUGUUUGGCUUGUUGAUCAAAUGGCUCGUUGCCAACGUACAGAUCCAGGAUUGAUCGACACAAGAGCUUGCUCUGGAUGCAUCCAGCCUCCUUUCCAUCAACUGCACACGUGCAAAAAUGGAACCGCGUUACCAAGACUUUGCAUCAUCACCAUGCUAAUGACAGAGAAAACAACCCUUAUCAAACAUAUAGUUGUUUAGGUUGUAAGCACAGACAGUUGUAUAAUUCCCUUAACGUGCACAAUUUGAAGAGAUUGUUUGAGAUACAUUCAAGAAAUUUAGAAAGACAAUGUAUAUAUAUCUUACUAGUUGUGCGAAGAACAUAGUCCCGCUCCCUAGACAGAUCAAUGAUGGAGCCCUUGGGUAGUUUAUAUUCGUCUUUGAAUUGAGCUGUGAAUCUGCAGAUUAAACACCCCCACAGAAAAUCAAUGACGAUAUGAUCACCAAACUCAGCACAAGUCAUUGGUCUUAACCAAUGUGGAUGAAAAUAAAGAUUGGAAGAAGCUGCUGCAAGCACUUCACUAGUAAACUGCUAAUGCAUAUAUAGAAAUAAAUCUAAACCAGUUCUAUAAACGAAGGCCGAUACAUGGAGUGAGACGACAUGCGUGUUGUGUUGCAAUAUCAACAAACUCAACGAGUAGAUGAAAACAGUAAGUCACCUUUGUAGCAGUUCUUUGGUUUCCGAUCCCCCAAACUUCUGUAAUCUGCUGCCUACAGACUCUUCAAAAGCACUACGAACAGAACGAAUGCUCAAUCUUCCAUACACAAUCUGCAGCCUAAUAGUCAUACUAACAUCACACUCCAUAAGAUCCUCCUUCAAAUUUUCAUUUCCCUUUAAUUCCGUAGCAGAAACAUCUCUAUAUUUCUCACCAAGAAACUUCUUUACAUCGGCAUCAUCAGCAUAUACACCUAUAAACAAGGGAACAAUUAUGAUUAUCAUCUUUCUUUCGAAAGAACCUUUUUAGCAUAAUUUGAUCGAACAAGUGAACACCAAGCAACAUUUUCCUACAUCACACACAUCAGUAUAUAAUACCAUCACCUAAUUAGGGAUUUUCACUGUUUCAACUCCGAUUUCAAAACCAAAUAAAUAAUUCAAAUAUAGUGAUUACAAUGUUAUACUAUAAAUUAGCAGAAUUCGUAGCAAUUGAAGAAAUAUCGAGCUCAAAAUGAAAGAAUGCAGUACCAAAAGCAUAGACAUCGAUGUUCUUCAACCCUAAAACGGCUUUUCUCCGCAGGCCAAUUCCGAGAAGCCGCUGGGAAUCUCUGAGAACAGAAGGAAAUGACGCUCCAGUCCUCGGCUCAGAGACCGGCGACGCAUUUCCGGAGAGAUAAAGAGAGCCCCACAUCGGGCAAAGGCUACCUCUAUUAGAAACCAAGUAAUUCAAUGCGGUUCGAGCAAGCGGGCUGUCGGGGUUCUGUGAGAUGGCAAUGCCAGAUCCAGCGAUCGAUAAAGCGGCGGCGGCGGCGGAGAGUGCGAGAGAUAAGGGGCGAGGCGAGGCAUUGGAGGCGGCGGAGGGGGGCGGAGUUGGAGGCUGAGUAAACGAGAAGGGGAAGCGGAAGGAUACCAUUGUUUUACAGUGAGUUUGAGGUGGUUGAGACGGUUGUAUACUGUCACGUGUGGCUAUCAUUGGGCUGCGCUAUCAUAUUGGCCCAUUAUUCUUCAGGCCCAAUUCUUCCUGGUAAACUACCGUUGUCGCAGCUGGCGGCUCCAUCGAUCUUCCCUUUCUAUUCCUUCAUUUUUUCUACUUCUAAUGCUUCUUUAAUUCGUAAGUCAAUCUGCUGUAUUAGUGAUAGUUAUUGGCUUGUUGGGCUAAAUCUGUUGGCUUUUCAGCCCAAGCAGUUAUAGAUCUUGAUCCAAUGGUAAUGAUUAGCCCACUAUAAAUAAAAUCCAAAUUCCUAUAUUAAAUUUUUUAUGCCCAAUAAUUAAAUUAUCUGGCCACCUCUUAAAUAGAUAUAAUUUGGCCCAUUUAAACGAAUAUUUGAAGUUCAUUUACUUUCCAACAAAUGUUACCAAUUAACAGGAGAGUCAAUCGGGCCAGGCCACUCGGUUUCGGGCUAGCUCAUUCGAUUUCUGGUUAUUUUCGGUUCGAGCUAAUCGGCUUUUUUAUUUUUCAGGCUAAAAUCUUUCGACCUUGACCCUAAUCCACUCGGUUUCGGGCUAACCCGUUCGAGCCCACAAGUUUAUGAUUUUUUUAUAUGUUUAAUUUUUCUUAUAGAUAAACAUAUUUUUGUAAUAAAAAUAUGUCGUAUUUUUUAAAUCAAGACAUUUCGCCUUAUUUUAGAUACAAAAAUUAGUGUUAUUUUAACAUAAGUUUAUACAAUAUCUAACUUUUAACUUCGUUUCCGAUAAAAUUGUAUAUAGAUUUAACAUAAAUGAUUAUCUUUCUUUGACUUUUAUAUCAUAGAUGUUUGUUAUUAACCGUUGAAAAAAAUCAAAACAUAUUCUACAAGAAUCAAAAUGUUAUUAUUUUAAUUAAAAAAUAAAGUAUAAAAGUUUAAAAAUCAAUUAUUAAGAAAGUGCUCGGUUAAUCAGGCCAACCCACUUGGGCUUGGGUUAUUUUCGGUUCGGGGCAUUCGGGCUAAAAAUUUUCAGCCCUAAGCCUCUUUUUUUAUCGGUCUAUUCGGGUCGACCCGUCGAUUUCAGACUUUUUUGACAUGACUACCAAUUAAUAAAAUAAAUAGUAAAUAAAAUUAACCAAUGCAUAUUUCCUCAAAAUAAUAAUAAUAAUAAUAAUAACCAAUGAGUAUACUAGCUGAGAAAAUUCCUACUUGUAAAAUUUAAUUUAUCCCAAAGUCUUUUCUCCAAUUAUUCUUAUAUAAUAAUUAAUAUAUUUAAUUAAUUGUAAUCGGUGUUUUAAGUCUGUUGGUAAGACGCUUCCCCUCCAACCAAUAGGUCGGGGGUUCGAGUCACCCUAGGAGCUAGAGUGUGAGUGAGUUUUUUUCCUUUCUUUGGUUGUAACAAUUUAAAAAAAAAAAAAAAACUAUUAAGAAGGCACUAACUUAAUUUUAGGUCGGGCUACUACUACUAGUAUUAUUAUUAUUAUUAUUAUUAUUAUUAUUAUUAUUAUUAUUAUGAAUCGUCCACGCAAUGAGUUACCGUCACUUUCCAUGGAUGUUGUAUGGAUAAUAGUCUAUUACUCAACAAAAAAGAAUCCACACUCAUAUCACAUUGAACAAUAAUAAAGAUACCUCUAACUAGUAUUCCUUGGAAUUUAGCAACUAUGAUUACUAUUAUUUAACAAGAAAGCAUCAAGCAUUCCAAAGAUACCAAAAUCCGUCUUGGAAACAAACACAUUCUACUAAAUCAGUUUAUGCCAACUUAUCUUUUACUAACCCUUUUUGUAAUAAUAGUUUUGUUGGUGUAUUAUUCUUUAAUUUUUAAUUUUAGUACAUUGCUGCUUGGUUAAAAACCUUAUUAAUGAGGAGUAGAUUGUGGGAUUCCUAACAUCAUGACACGUGUACUUUAGCACGACUGAGUGUUGAGGCGGAUUGAUCCAGCAUUGUGGGUGAUGAAAUAAUCCCUAAGAUGAGAUGUGCUAAAAACAUCGCGCAGUGACAGGGCUGCAACUCAAGAGCGAAAUAGGGGCGUGCGAGAAUGACAUAGCUGUGUAUUUCCAUUCCUGAACUAAGGGGGGGGUGUAUUCGUUGUGGAUUUCCACAGACUUUAAAAAGUCCAUGGAAUUUAAAUUCCAUGGAAUUCACAUAGAUUUCAGACGACUUUCAAAGAAUUCGUGGUUGGAUUUCACCCCGAUUUUGACUAAUUUUCGAAGACUUUAUGGGAUAAUUUUGGAAUUGAAUUCCAUGAAAUCAGCGCCCGCGGAGUCCCAACACCGCUGGAAACCCAGCGAGCGCUGGAAACCCAGCGACCGCUGGGUUCCAGCGAGCGCUCAAACUUACUGAAGAAAUUAAUACACGCUCAAACCCAGCGACCGCUGGGUUACGUUGCCCGAAUGAUGAUUACAGUCGACUCCUUCCCAGCUGCAACAGUCUAGUGAUGCAGACCAGUUCAAGGGCGGUGCAGCAGAGAUGCUCAUGUUAAAUGAUGAUAAAGAAUCAUGGCCGAGUUUACUUCAUGAGGCGUCGCCGUUAUGCACAAAGCAAGUUGUUAUUAUGAGUAAGGUUAUUUGAGAAUGGAAAGAUACAGCGCCAUGGUUCUGCUUGUUUGAUGAGAAGGAAGGGGGACUACUCAGAAGCAUCGCAGAAACCAACAACACAAAGUCGAGAGAGAGGAUUCGUGGACUUUGUUUUUGGUUAUGGUCUUUGAUUUAAGAGAGGGAGCAGUUGAGUGCGAGCCUUCUUGUAAUUUAUUAAGAAUAGGUCUAUAUAGGUAGCAGUUUGAUUGAACGAUUGUUGAGUUCCAGCGCUCGCUGGCUUCUUGGCCGCGGGCGGUGGAACUCAGCGCUCGCUUAAAAUUUCAUGGAUUUCAAUUCUUGUGGUUCUUGGCCGGAUUUCGUCGUGUGUAUUUUUUGGAUGAAAUCCAUGAAAGUCAUUCCGGAUUUUAAGUCAAUGGAAUAACGAAUACACCUAGAUUUGUAUGGAUUUUAAAAAGUCUUGAACGAAUACAUCCAGAUUUAUAUGGACUUUUAAAAGUCUUGAACGAAUACACCCAGAUUUCUGCAGACUUUUAAAAGUCUUGAACGAAUACAUCCAGACUUUUAAAAUCCAUAGAAAUCCAUCAAAUUCCACAAUGAAUACACCCCCCUAAGCCAUCGCUGGGAGAAAUGACAAGGUCCGACAUUUACUGACAAUUGCUACUGUCUAUAUCUUUAGAAGUCGUUAGCUAGUACAUGAGGGGCGCAUGUCUUGUAUAGGAAAAGACUGAAAUAACCCCAAUAUGAUUCUCUAUAUAUAUUUCCUCCAUUUGUAUUUAGAGAUUACGUAAUUCAAAUUAAUAAAACAGUCUUGCUCUUCCUUACUUUUCUCUCUUUCGGUUAACAACAAACAGGUGAUUAAAUCUAUCACAAACUGUAGAAUCUAGGCCUACUUUUCUGAAUUCAACAACUAGCGCUGUCUGUGGAAAUUAGAGAGUAUAAGAUGUGAGAUGCUUUGGUGUUUUACGAGAGAAACAUGUUUUAAAUCGUUUUUGAGGAUUUCCCAACAGAGUUCUACAGCUCCAUACGAUUUACGUUCGGCUAGAAAGUAUUAACCCUCUGAAUAUUUCACUUAUGUUGGGAGGGUAGUGAUUAUUCUAAAGGUCGGGAAAAGUAUUGUUGUUGGGUCCCGGAAGGUUUAGAAUAGGUGUAAGGGGGGGAAUACACCUAUGGGCUAUUUUUCGAAAAACUUGUUGAAGUUAACUGAAAUAGUAUAAACUAAUACGAAGGAGAAUGACUGAUGAAAACAGUUAACAAAAACAUCAAUUAAACAAAGGUUGAAGACUGAUACUGAAAUAACUUCAGCAAAUUGAUUUCAGUUAGGCACACGACUUUAACUGAUAUUUGCGUAAGACUUAUGUCUUGAUUUUAAAACAGAUGAGUGUUAUGAAUCUUACUGAUUAUCCGAAGAUUUAUCAGUUAAACUAAUAACACUGGCAGCGGAAAACUUAACUUUUGAAAUAGCCUUUGAUUAACACGUAGGUUAUAGUUUCGCUUUACAAUUAAUCAGUUUCAGUUAUAAACAAGUUUGUGCACAGAUAAGAAGGUAAAACUUAAAACGAUAAACAACAAAGGAUUUUUACGUGGUUCGGAACAAGUUUCUACGUCCACGGUCAGUUAAACACACUGACGAUCACUCUGGGCUUGUGCUUGCGGGUGCACAGCAAACCUUAGACUGAAAAUACAAUUUCCAGUACUAACACUCUGGGUUGGAUUUCUCGCUCACUCUUAGCACGCUAAGACACAAAAAUGCCUUUACCAGCGGGUGGCUAAGAUCUUUUGGAGUCAGAACACUAGUCUGAAAUCCUCUCUACUCAAACACUCUUUUCGCUCGGUUGAAAGGAGGUUCGAAGUACCAACUAGAUUACAGAGAACAUACUCUCUGUAAUUAGGAACUUAGGCUUUGGAUUUUUCAAGAUAUUUGCCUAAGAGACUAAGAGAAUGUAUGAAAUCAGAUAACUGAUUUUAGCUUUGGGUAUUCACUUCUUCGAUUCAAAACUUUGAAGGCAGUGAAUGGCUGAGUUGCGAAUUUGGAAGAGUUUCAGCGUGUGCGUUUGAAUCGGUGAAGAUUGUAGUGUUCCUCGAGCUCUAUUUAUAGGAGAAGUCUUGAAUAGAUCCGUUGGCUAAGAUGGUCUUCAAAAAUUCAUCCGUUGUGAGAGUAAUUUGAAUUUGGCUUAGGCUUCAAUCUUCGAGAUUCCUUAAUUUGGUGAAGAACGGCGUCUCAGGUACAAGAGGUAAGACGCCUCUGAAAAGUUAUCACAAAAAAAGAAUACUCUGCAGAGAAAGAACGAUCUUCAAUAUCUCAGCAUUUAAUGCGGCUGUACUUGAAGGUACAUGGCUUCCUUUAUAAUCAGGAGUUUCAGUCCGAGGAAGAAUGUCAACCGAUACUUGACUUGAGUAUCAGUCCGCUAAAUCCACAUAGCCUGCAUUAUUACUUAAGCCAUAACUGAUUCUUCAGUAAGCAACUCGAUCAGUCAAACAUCAGUAUUUGACUUGGCCUUUUCACAGCAAACUUCAGUUGAGGUCUUCAGUCUUCAGUCCUCAGUCCUCCGGUCUUCAGUCUUCAGUCUUCAGAACACUAGAUAAACUAGAAAAUGAACUCCAACACUUGAGUUCGGAAAGUUCUAGUCUAUUACAAAGAAAACCUAAGGAUUUUGGUAUCAUCAAAACUAGGGCUAGGAUAUUUCAUUAAGUUCCCAACAAUUGUGCAAGGAUUCAUAAUCAUAUUGGAAUUCACUCCGCGUACUUUUUAUGGUCUUUCACCUGAUUUUGCUUGCUGAGGGUAUAUAUCAUGUCUGAAUUUUUCAUUGUGUGAUUUGGAUUUCUCAUGUUAUGAUGAUUUUAAGGACACCUCGGUUGUAUUAUGCCUGUUACGUGCAUUGUUCCCUCUUAGAUUGUUGGGAACUUAAUGAAAUAUCAUAAUCAUUGUUUUGAUGAUACCAAAAUCAAUAGGUUUCUUUUGUAAUAGACUAGAACUGCUUGAACUCAAGUGUUAGAGUUCUUUUUUCUAGUUUAGUUGCUGUUCUGAAGACUGAAGACUGAAGAACGAAGGACUGAAGACUGAUGUUGCCGACUGAAGCAUCAGAUGAAGAAUCAAUUUUUGACUGAUUACUUAAUGCGAGCCACGUGGAAUCAGCGGACUGAUACUAAAGUCAAGUAUCAGUUAAACAUUCUUCCUCGGACUGAAUCUCCAACGUUCAAAGGAAGCCACACACUCUAGAAGUACAGCCGCAUUAAAUGCAGAGAUCUCAGGAUCGUCAUUUCUCUGCAGAGCUCAUUCCUCUUUGGUGAUUACCUUUUCAGAGUUGUCGCAUCUCCUGCUCUUCAAUAUAGUUGUUCUCACCAAACAAGGAACCUUGAAGAUUGAAGCCUCAACCCAAGUUCAAAUUACUCUCUAACGGAAGAAAUCUUGAAGACGUUCUCCGCCAACGGAUCUAUUCAAGACGUCUCCUAUAAAUAGCGCUCGAGGUUCACUUCAAUCUUCUCCGAUUCAACGACAUAAGCUGAAACGCUGCCAAAAUUGUUUCUCAGCUAAAACCCAGACUCUCCAAAGUUUGAAUCAAAAAAGAGAAUCCCAAAGCCAAAAAUCAGUCACUGCUGAUUACAUAUAUUCUCUUAGACCUUAGGCAAAUCUUGUUUAUCCAAAGCCUAGGUCAAACUAACUCCAAAGAACUUGUUCUUUGAAGUUUAGUUGGCAAGUUUUCAAACCUCCCUUCAACCUACUGAAUCGAGUGUUUGUGUUGUAAAGGAGUUCAGAAAGGUGUUCUGUCUCCGUGAGGUCCUAGUGCCUAGUGCGUACUAGGAGUGAGAAAUUCAACAAGGUGUGUUGGUACUGAAGAUUAGAUCUUCAGUUGUUUCGGUUGUGUGCACCCGCAAGCACACGUUCAGGUUUGAUGUGCACCCGUAAGCACGAGUGUUGGUUUGCAGUGCACCCGUAAACACUUGCCAGUGAAGUUGUUGGUCUGAUCAACCGACCAAGGAUGUAGGAAGUGUUUUCCGAACCACGUAAAAAUCUCUGUGUUAUUUACAACUUUCAGUAUUUACUUUCUUAUUUGUGUUCUUCCCUUCGUAAACUGAAAACUGAUUAAUCGCAAAGACAAAACCUUAAGACUGACAACGUGCUUAACUCACAGGCUAUUGCGAAACAAAAGUUUUCCGCUGCGUGUGUUAUCAGUCUAACUGAUCUGUCUUCUGAUAGUCAGUAAGAUUCAUAACAUCUCUGUUUAUCAAACUCGACUGAAGCCUUACGUGCAUCAGUUAAGAUCUUUGACUUAACUGAUAACUCUUUAUUGAAAAGUAUUCAGUAUCAGUCGUCAACCCUAUUUUGGUCAAAACUCUUUUCUGUAAACAGGUUGUGUGAGUUUGUGUUUGAAGUUUCGUUUUGAUCUCUUGUAAAGAUCGAAAAUAGCCUAUAGGUGUAUUCCCCCCCAUACACCUAUUCGAGACCCUCCAGACCUAACAUAUAUCUAACUAAUGUAUUGUUUGUUUGAUGGUAUAUGGGCACUAUUCUUCUAUGUUUUUGUGGUUCGUAUUUUUAUGCACGGAAAUUCUGAAUUUCUUAUAUAUAUAUCGCAUUGAAUCUGGGUUUUCUCGGUCUUCUGCAUUAAUUAUAUUAUGACAUUCAAAUAGCCCUGUCAUAUCGCAAUGGUGAGCAUUUAUUAUUUAGAUUUUCAUUAGGAUAUUUUGCAGGAGCCGUAUAUUGGUCACCUGCUUAUUCUUCAUGAUCGUUGUUGUACGAUAUUAAUGGCUUCCUUGAAAAUAGGAUUGUACGAUAUUAAUGGCUUCCUUGAAAACAGGAUUAUGGAAAACACUACUGUCACCAAGAACUUGGGUGAUGACUUCGAAUAGAAGGCCAUAGGUUACACUACUAAUGUGUCAGAGGUUGACAAGGUUGCUAAAGGCACUAGUUCUACACCAUCGGGAUUUACUAGACAGAUACCUACCAUACAACUAGGAGUAUGCAUCGGUUCAUAAUCGAACCAACAAACACACAUUUUAACAAACCAAAACCAAAUUGAGGGGGGAAAUGUACAAAUCGAACCAACCAACAUAUAUGAAAAAACCGAUCUGAACCGAACCAGCAAAAACCGAUCGAUUUCGGUUGGUUUUCUGAACCGACCGACCUACUGUGUUGCGCUGCAUCGGCGAGGAAGUGGCGGUCUGUUGUGCUGCAUCGGCGAGGCAGAGUUGCAGGUGGUGGGCGUUGCCAUUCCCUUCGCCAGUGCUGUUGACAACAAAUGGGAGAAAGAAGACGGUUGUAGGCACUUGACUGCGGCAGCUUGGCACGAUUCCUGAUGUCGAGCCGAAGGAGAAAUGAGUCGGAAGAACUUCUGUCGGAGAAGAUAGCAGUUACUGUUUUAAAGAGAGAGAAAGAUGUGAAGGGUAGUGUAGGGGCGACAGCUUUCCAAAAGAAAAGAGAGAAAUGUAAGGGGUAAGUAUGGGUGGGCGGCAGCAAUGUGUGAUGAAAGUUAGAAGUAUUAGGAUUUUUAAUAUAUUUUGAUAUUUUAUAAUUUAUUAUAUAUAUAUUCAGUUCGGUUCGAUUCCCAACCGAUGAAAUUUAAGGGAAUCGAAACUGAACCGAUACUUAAUCGGUUCUUUCCCAUAAAAAUUGAACCAAAAAUCGAUGCUCAUUUUUUCAAAUCGAAUCGAACCGAAAAUACUCGGUUCGGUUAUUUUUUUGGUUUGGUUCAGUUUCUGCACACCCCUACAUACCACUAGCUUCACCAGGGCUAAUUAGCACAGAACUGCCACCUAUAGGAUCUAUUCCACCGGGGAUCGGGUUCAUCAAUGUUACUAUGACUGAGCAGAUGUUGUCUCUGUUUGACACCACUGGCUCCCGAAACUCUUACUGGUACAGGACUGGAAGCCACGACAGCACAGUUGACCCCCAAUCUUGCCACGAGAGGAGUGCUAUAGGAUCCAACACUUACUCCCAAAGGAACUACACUACUGCAUACACCCGCGGGACCUGAUAAGGAUAAACCCAACAAUAAGGGUAAACAACAUUGUGAUGGGCCAUUGUAUCCGGAAAAAAUGGAGCUCAUUGAAGACGUAGUUGAUCUUACUAGUAAAACUACCCCUACCCUGGCACGCCAUGGCAAUGAACCGUGUGGUGAGGAUCCAGCUCUACUGCACAGUAUCACUUAUGCAAAGGCAUAUUCAGGAGUUGGAGGCAAUCAUUGGGGAGAAUGAACAUGUAACUGAAAAUUUGCCCAAAGAACAGAAGAAAGUAAGGGAGAAGCUUCGCGCGUCAAGGCGAGAACAUUCUCGUCAUAGGGAGCACUUUGAGCAUCGAGGAAUUAGUAAACGCAAGGCUGCCAUGAGACAUUCUCGAGGGGGACACGAUAAGGAGAGGAAGCGCUCUAUGCCUGAUUUGGGAUUAGUACCGCGGCUGCGGUCAAACCUUUUUUCUGAGGAGAUUUUGGCAGAUACGCUACCGCGCCACUACGAGCUGAUCACAUUAGAUUACAAUGGGUCAGAGAACCUGAAAGUGCAGAAUGCCGAGUCCGUCGUAGGACGGGAAGAGAGUGGUCCACAUGAUCAUUGGAGAAAAAAGAGUCCCCACGUCUAAUAGAGCAAAGAAGCAAGCUAUUCGAUCCGCUAGGGCUGGGUAUUAUCCCCACCAUGUGAUGUCAGUAUCAGGAGGGGAGAAAGAACCGGACAUUUCAUUCAGGCUAUCAGAUCAUCGAGGCCUUAUGCAUCCACACAGCGAUACCCUAGUAUUUUCAACAGAUGUUGCCAAUUGUAUUGUUCACAAGAUUUUUGUGGACACCGGAAGUGCAGUCAACAUCAUUUAUCAAGAAUGUUUGGUAGCCAUGGCAUUGAGAGCAGAGCUGAAACCUACCAGUGCUCCACUCUAUGGGUUCACAUGUGAGGCUAUUACACCGCUGGGAUCUAUCAAAUUACCAAUGGCUUGGGGAUCCCCCGGUGCUUCAUAACUCGGAUGCUCCGAUUUUUGGUCGUUGACAUGCCCAAGCCCAGUUAUAACAUAAUUGACGGGCUGCCAGCCCUGAAUACAUUCCAGGCUAUCAUACCAUGCACCAUCUAAAGAUGAAAUUCACUAUAGAAGGGAGCAAGAUCGGGGAAGUAUGUGGGAAUCAAGUGGUCUCUAAGGAGUGUCAUGUCCGGAGCCUGACUCAAAAAAUGGGAACCAAACGAGCUAGGGAAAAUAACGAGAUGUUAAUAGUAAAGUAGGGGAAAAUUGGCACCACACCCGAAACCCAGGAAGAAUGACACACACCUGUCGUGCGGUGCGGGCAAAAUACUUGUGUAUGCCCAGUACAGACGAUACACGCUCCUACGUCCCACAACAAGAACUCAGUCUUAGUGGCAAGUGUAGGGUCGAAUCCCGCAGGGAGUGAUGAACCACUUUGUUCUCCAACGACAAACUGAGGUGUCACAAGUCUCAAUCUGUAUACUCUGCACAAGAAAUUAACAAGAUCAAUAAUAACAAAAGGGUGAGGUUAUUCGGUUAGGUCAUAACUGUUGUUAACAUUCGUUGCGGUCAUAGGCAUACUGAUAAUCCGUCCAUGAUCCAUAUAAACCCAAGGCGUGGCCCAAAGACAUUGGGGCGUUUCAAGGGGUUAUACUUCACAUUUAGGAUGGUUGAUCCCAUUGUGGUCACUUGGUCCGGAGGUCACACAUUCCCCGGUCACAAGGCAGUGCUUCACUCCUCCUUAGAUAGUAGUCAUACCCGUUACUCACCAAGUAUGACCCUCACCAACCUUCUCUCCCGAGGUCCCCAACUCCGCACUUUGAGUGACACAUGCCUCCUGGACACAACCAUUUCCGGCUUGUCAGCCGACCAGUCAUAGACAUGAUACGGCGCAGAGAUUGCUUUCCUCGUUUGAUAACCAUGGCUUUAUGCCUCGUCACAGUUGAUGGAUAGUCUCUAGAGAAGCCCAAGACUGAGGAAGGACAGUGUAUCCCAUCAAUCCUUUCCCCACCUUCUGGAUCUACAACGCCUUUUGUUGACGCUGCUCAGCCACUCGGUCUUGGGUAUACUAUAUGUCACGCCCUGGUAUACCCUAGCCUUUGCUUGACACGGACAUCAUUUUACCGAAUGGAGAUCACCCGUUAGACCCCUACUGCCCAUGGUGUCGAACAAAUCCUUCUGGAACCACGAGAUUCAACCGAAAGAACAAAUGCCUCACGAAUGUUUACAUGUUAACAACAAUUAUUUCCACCCCUAAAACCUCACCUAAGGAAUUACUCACACAUAGUAGAAUUCAUAAAUGCGAAAUGAAUUAAAUGCAUCAUGAAACAAAAGGGAAUACUUAAAUAAGAUAAAGUAAUACCUAAGGCUACGAGCCUUGAAUCUUGUUCGAAUGAAAACACAACGGAAACAGAACUGGAAUGUAAUUGUUUUUGGGUGCCACACUUCGGCAGAGUUAAAGUAAUAAGCUAAAUAAAAUAGAGUUUAAAAGGGGCCAAGAGCUUCUUCUCGUUGCACAUCUUCAACCUUUUAUACUGCCAAUCGGUGAAGGUCUAACCCUAGCUGCGCCAGCUUCAUAUCUUCAUCGAGAUCUUCUUUUCUUUUUUAGCUCAAUCAUUGAUUGAUCCGAUUGAAGAUAGCUUCCAGCUGCAUGCUGUAGUCAAACUUUCCCUUCUUCCAGAUUCUUCCAGCUCCUUCUUCGUUCUUCUCCAUCCUUCCUCCAAAUCUUCGGGAUUUACUUUCCUUUUCUGGCUUUGGCUGUCUGCUUCGCAUAGUAGUGGUCAGACGGAUUGCUUUCUUUGGUUUGAUUCAUACCUGGUGGGUUGCUUCAGGUUCCCAUGCCCCAAGUUAGACUGGAGAGGUACUGCAGCCGAAGCUCCAUGCUGGUAAACAUGACAUAGCAAUCUGGGCUUGGUAAUGCCCAUUCCAACCACAUUCUUUCCGUUUCCGCUCCACUGGACCUUCCUUCCUCAACAACUUUGUUUCCCCUGGACAUACCUGAACUGACACAAAUAAAGAGAAAAAUAGGGCCAAAUGGCCCAAAAGUCGAAGACGCAUCAAAGAACUAGAUGAAAUGACGGAAUCAAGGCGAAAUCCAGACAAGCAACCAAUGAAUCCACUAAUGAUCAUUAUGUGAUGAUAGAACUAUUCCCGGGAAAAACUGGUUUCACCACAAAGAUAGGCACAGAGAUGGCAUCGGAGGUGGAAAAAGACAUGAUAGAUUGAUUACGAAGAAAUGUGGAUGUGUUCGCAUUCAACACAAGUCAUGGCAGAUUUAGAGGGCAUAGAUCGAUAUCUGGCAUAGCAGCGUUUGAAUGUAGACUCCACAAUCAAGCCGGUCAAGCAAAUAACAAGACAGUUUGGGCCCGAAAAGGAUGCAACCAUCAAAGAACAUGUUCAAGGUCUUCUAAAAACAUGGCAUCUUGUAGAAGUACAGUAUCCGAUAUGGCUUUCCAACGUUGUGAUGGUGGAAAGAAAGAGAAAGAAUGGCCCAUGUGUGUGGAUUAUCGAGAUUUAAAUUGUGUCUGCCCUAAAGAUUAUUACUCACUUCCAAGGAUUGAUCAACUAGUCGAAUCCACUACUGGAUGCGAAUUAUUAUCCAUGAUGGAUGCGUUCCAAGGGUCUCACCAGAUCAAUAUGCACCCUUCAGAUAUAGCCAAGACCACAUUCGUCGUGUGCUGCGGUAUGUUCGGAUGGGCCAGCAUGCCCUUCGGUCUUAAAAAUACAGGGGCCACAUACCAACGAAUGAUGGAUAAGAUUUUUUAGGAGCAUAUAGGGAAAGAACAUGUCUGUUUUAUGUAAACAACAUGACGGUGCGAAGUACUUUGGCCAUAGACCACGCAAGGGACUUGGAAGAGGUGUUCUCUGUUAAGGGGGAAAAGUAGGGUCUCUAAAUCUUUCGCAUGAUGGACUUUCAUUUCUUCUUUGAGGCAUCAUACUGAAUAAAUACACAAAAAUCCCCUGAAUUAGGUUUUAAUCAAAUUAGUAAAGUAAAACUAUCACUUAGAAGUAAAUCAACUAAGUCAUGAGAUCGUGUAAACAAAAGUGAACCAUAUAAAAUAAUUAAAACUCAUCAAUAUAUAAUAAAACCGCUUUGGUCAUUUCAUAUCAUGGGAAAAUUUGCCUUAUUAAGAACUAUUGCAAAAAGGGAAUAUACCCUGCAAAAAGCCCCUAGUACAAAUUGUGAUGCUCUAACUAUACAAAAAUACUAUUAGUACUAAGUUACGGUGCAACCGCAUCAUCAAUUUGUCUAUAUAUGAAUCCACACACUAUAUAUACAUACUGGUAAAGCAUGAAACCAACACCUAAACUAUAAAGCAAUAAACGAUACAAUAUUUACGUGGUUCGGUCAUCAAGACCUACGUCCACGGGAGUUCUUCAGGUUUUACACUAUACUGAGAGUGUGUACAGAUUACAAGUGUUGAGUGAAUAAGAUCAGAUGAUGCUCUUAAUUCAUCCUAAGUUUCUAUUUAUAGGCAUGUAAAAUAAACCCUAAGGCCUUAAACCCCCCACCCCUUAGAUAAUUGGGCCUAAAGCCCCUUAAUGUCUUAAUACAUUUAACUAUAGCUUCUAGCUUUUAGCCCCUUAAUGUGACUGCGCAGGUUCGGAUUCUCUAGGCUGUACAGUGCUUCGGGUACCUUUGACUCGCAGGCACUUCUCAACUGCGCAGGCCCUUCGUAUUCAUUUUAUUAUCCCGAGCCUUUUGUUAAACCUGCGCUGGUUAGUUUACUUAAUAAUAAUAAUAAUAAUAAUAAUAAUAAUAAUAAUAAUAAUAAUAAUAAUAAUAAUAAUAAUAAUAAUAAUAAUAAUAAUAAUAAUAAUAAUAAUAAUAAUAAUAAUAAUAAUAAUAAUAAUAAUAAUAAUGUCAAUCAAGUAAAAUAGACUUGAAUUACUAAGUUCAGCGCUGAUGAGUAUUCCAAUCCUCAUCACAUACACACCACCACUUAUAUACAUAUACACUACACACAUUGAUGUUCGAUGAAAAAAAAUAGCAUUUGUUUAAAAUUAUUGAAACCAUGCGUUUUAAAAUGAUAAACGACAUUUAAAUAGGUCAUUUAAUAUUUUAAAACCCAACAUAACUACGAAAAACAACUUAUUGAUGUUCGUACACUUACAAUUUACAAGCAUCGGUUUAUGAGCGCUGCUUAUAAAUUCAAAAGAAAAGAGUAAUAAAUCGAGCACGUUUAAAAUUUAAAGAUUAUGAAACUUGCCUAAGUCAAAUAGGAUGGGCCUUAAACGAAUAUUUGGGUUAUCCCUUCACAUUUAUUAAUCAUAAUCAUUGUUGAACCUAACUCGAAAUGUUUGGUUCGAGUUAGAGCACUUGGAAAUUUUAAACACUUGAAAUCGUCAUCUAAAUAUUUCAAAAUUAUAUACUAUUAAACAUAAAUUCAAUCACCACAAUACAAAUUUAACAUGAAUAAAUGGUCUAUUAAUUGAUUGUGUUCAAAAUGCCCAAUCACUAUGGAAAUAAAAUUCUAAUAACUAAAAAUAAAAUAAAUAAUAUCAAUACUAACUGAAAAUUCGGCCGGUGUUCGGUUUCAAAUCGUAAUCUUAAUGAAACCAAAUAGAGCUAUACUAUAAUUUCUCAAAUUCCACAAUAUUUUUGUUGCAAUAUACUUUUAUGAGUUUUACAAAAUUUCAAUGCAAGUUUUUUAUUUUAUUAAGCACACAAAUUAAGAAAGGAAUUGACUAUUUUAACCGCACGCGAGCACGAGACUCCCAUUUGAUGAUGAUUAAUUGCAAUUUGCAAUCCAUUUUCAAACUCUAUGAAAAAGAAAAAGAAAAGUUCAAAUGGAUCGCAAACACCAAAUAAAAACUUUUUUAUUUUCUGAUCAGAAAAAAGUGCAACUAAAUAACUGGAAGGUACAAGAAGUACCAAGAGUUACAACAGACAGCAACCAGAAUAGAGAACAAGCCAAACAAACCAGGAAAACACAAAGUCAGGAGCCACCAACGCAUCACGAACUAUCAACUCAAGAUCCCUUCAAGUGAGAGCCAGGAUUGGAGAUCUAAAACAGGCGCCUCCAGCUUAAAAAUCAUUUUCCAACUCCAAAGCUUCAUCUUGAUCUCCAAAACCAAUUUAUCUUUGUUCCACACACCUUGCUUGAAGAUACAGUUAUUUCUCACUUUCCAAAUGCUCCAAACAAUGCUAAUCCACAAACCAGUAAGGAAUCGAGUUUCAGCUUUAUUCCCUAGACCAAUGAAAGCAAGGAAGUGUUCUUUUGCAUUGUGAUGUAAAGCCGAGCUCUUACCAAUCCACCGAAGAAACGCAUUCCAAAUCUCCCCUGUUUUUUCACAAAGAAAGAGAAUAUGCUCCAGAUCCUCCAUCUGAGAAUGACAAAAAAUGCAAUCCGUUUCCGGAGAAGUGUUGAGUACAUGUCUUCGAACGAGGUUAUCGUAAGUAGCCAUUCUUCCUUUCAUAAUCCUCCAAGCAGUCGUUUUUGCUUUGUGUGGAACCGGAGCUUUCCAGAUCUUGGAGAAUUCCUCUUUUUUCCUCUAUGAAUCGGCAGUGGCUGCUUCCCUCCUAAUAGCUUUGUAUGCUGAAUUCACUGUGUAUGUACCAGAUGGAGAAAGUUUCCACCUCCAGUCAUCUUUAACACCUGCAUUCACCUUGAAAAGAUUGAUAACUGUAAGAAGGUUAGAAGCAUGACUCAAAUCUCUACCCCUCAAAUCUCUAGUCCACUCAAGCUUCCACUCCCAAACACCAUCGACCCAAGAGCCCAUAUUCUUGAUGUACCCUUCUUGAUUACCACUCAAUCGGAAAAGACUUGGGAACCUUUCUUUCAAGCUUUUACCCCCCACCCAACAAUGAUUCCAAAACUGUAUAGAAUCUCUCUCCCCCACCUUCAAAUCCAGAUUAUCCCUCAACCAUUUCCCCCCAUCCCCUCUGCUUAAACUAACCACCCUCUUCCACCACCACGAUUUAACCUCUCUCUUUUUUUUCGAAACAAAGGCCCUCACCAUCCACCCGAUCUCCCCCUUACUAGCUUGAAUCACACGAACCCAAAAAGACUCCCUCUCUGUCAACAACCGCCAAAUCCAUUUGGCCAUGAGAGCCUUAUUAAAACUCUCCAAGUCUUUAAUACCCAGCCCUCCCUCUCGAACAUCCUCACCUAAAACCUCCCAUUUAACCCAAUGGAUCUUUCUACACUCUGUUCCUUCUCCCCCCCCACAGAAACCCACUCAUCACUCUACGGCACUCAAGCAAGACACUCUUAGGCAUAAGAGAGAAAGAAAGCUGAAAAAUAAGAAUUGAGAAAAGAACAGAGCGCAACAGCGUAAUUCUCCCGGCAAAAGACAACUUUCGAUUCUGCCAAAAUUUGAUUUUCCUCUUAAUUUUCUCAACUAAAUAGCUCCACUCUGCUACUCGAGACAAACGAGCACCAAUCAAGAUACCCAAAAAUUUAGUAGGAAACUCACCAACUUGACAAUUAAGAGUAUUUGCCAUCUGAACUCUCAAGGGGCUCGGAACUCCAAUCCCAAAAAUAUUGCUUUUAUCAAAGUUAACUUUAAGACCCGACAGAGCUUCAAAAAUUUUCAGGAUACUCUUGAGAACCCAAGCAUUUUCACUUUUCCCGGAGGCCACAAAGACCGUAUCAUCUGCAUACUGCAAGUGGGAGACAGAAAGUCCGUUGCUCCUGAAAACAAACGGUUCCAGCAGCCUUUGAUGAAUGGCUCUAUUGGUGAUCAAAUUGAGUCCUUCCGCAACAAUCAGGAAGAGGAAAGGUGACAGGGGAUCGCCUUGUCUGAGGCCCCUUUCCAAAUGAAACUCACCUGAUGGGCUACCAUUAACUAAGACAUUGGUCGUGGCAGAAACUAAGCAGCCCGAGAUCCAUCUCCUCCAUCGAAGACUAAAGUUCAUCAUAUCGAGCAUCUCAUCCAAAAACUCCCAAUCGACCGUGUCAUAAGCCUUGGCGAAGUCCGCUUUAAACAGAAUUAAACCCUGCUUUCUUCUCUUGGCCUCCUCAAUGAUUUCAUUCACCACGAUGACCCCAUCAAGAAUAUACCUCCCUGUAACGAAAGCACUUUGACAAUCUGAGAUAAUCAAAUGCAUCACCUUUUUCAAUCUUGAGGCCAGCACCUUAGCAAUAACCUUAUAAAGACUGUUGAUCAGAGAAAUAGGAUGAAAAUCCUUUAAAUCCGAGGCAGUUUCCUUCUUUGGAAUUAAAACGAUGAAAGAUGUGUUGCAUCCUCUGGCCAGUUUACCAUUAGAAUGAAACUCCUUCAAGACUCCCAUCAAGUCAUUUUUGAUGUUAUCCCAGCAUUUCUUCAUGAAGAGAAAAUUAAAGCCAUCGGGUCCAGGACUUUUACCUCCAUCACAAUUCCAAAUUGCUUCUUUCGUUUCCUCCUCUGAAAAGGGCGAAUCCAGCCAAUCCCUAAGUUCAUCCGAGAUCUUCCUUUGCACAAAAUCAGUUGGAAUCGUUGGCCUAACUCCUCUUCUUUUCCUGAUCUUCGAAAUGGGUUCUGAUCUCCUGUUUGACCUCAUCUGGUUUAUCAAUCCAGUUGUCUCUGACAUUGAGCCCUGAGAUCUCAUUUUUAAGACGCCUUCCGUUAAUGACUUUAUGAAAAUAGCUACUAUUCACAUCUCCGUCUUUCAACCACCGGUCUCUCGCUUUUUGAGAUAAGAGACUGUCUCUAUUUUUCAUUUGGAGGAGCAAGUUUGUAGCAGCUUCGUUUCUCUUGACAAUCUCAUCUUUUUCCAACCCCAGGGUGUCGUCAAUGACAUCCCAUUCAGUGAUCUCCGUUUUAAGUUUUUCGAUAUUCUGAUCAAUCGAACCAAAACUCUCCUUAUUCCAUUUCUUGAGAUCUUCUUUCAACCUUUUCAACUUUUCUUUGAACACAUAGCAUUUCCAGCCCGAAAAGUCAUUCCUGUUCCACGAUUCUCGAACCAUCCUUUCAAAAUCCGGGUGAUUAACCCAAGCGUUGAUGAACCUAAAGGGUUUCGGCCCCCAAUCCACAUAGUAAAAACUACGAAACCAAAUAAACUUGAAUCUUGGUUAUAGUGAUUAAUCGACGCAUAGCAGUACUGUCGUUUUCGCUUCUUGUUGCUUUCCUCCAAAAUCUCAAAUCUCAAAAGUAUAAUUAUCAGUUACUUAUUUUUAUUUUGAUAAAUUAAUAUUAUUAAAUAAAAAAUUUAAAUUAUCAAUUACUUUUAUUUACUUAUGAGUUGAUCUCCUAUGAAACUAAAUAUAUAAAAAAGACGGGUCGGAAUGGGGCUGGAGCGGAUAACAGGUUAGUUGAAAAGCAUAAAUAAUAUAAAUUGAUAUAGAAUUACUAAAAUAAAGUAUUGGUGUACGUGGCUAAAGCUUCACAUUUUUAACCCAGUGGCAUUUGAUUUAAAACCCACUUAUGCUUUUUUCUUUUCUAUUUUUUUUGUUAUUUUUUUAACAUUUUUUUUUCUAUUUUAUUUUCUGCUUUUUUUCCGGUGUUUUUUUGUAUAUAUAUUUUUUCAAUAUUUUAUUUAUUUCUUCGCUAUUUCAAAAUAAUUAUUGGUAUGAUGAAAAAUAAUAAUCUAUUUUUUCUGUAUUUUAUUUAUUUCUACGCUAUUUUAAAGUAAUAAUUGACAUGAAGAAAAGUAAUGUUUUUGAAACAUUACUUACGACGAUGAUUACUUGAUUAAAUAGCUAAAAGUAUGAGUUUUCGCGAGUAAAAAUAACAUUAGUGUUCCUCAAAUCAAUAAUUACUUUUUCGGACAACAAUAAUUAAUUGACCAAAUACAUAAAGUACAAAUUCUCAUGAAUAAAAAUACAAUUAUCGUGAACAAAUGUAUUAAUUUUGAAAUAUUAUUUUUCUUUAUAUCAAUAAUUAUUUUUUAUUACGAUAAUAAUUACAUGAUCAAAUAUAAUAUACUUCUCUAGUUGAUUUAUACAUUGUGAUACUUUUGUGUGGAUAAUUGUAUGUAUUCAUUCGGAAACUAUAAUUAAUACUCUAAAUCAUAUUUUUUUUUUUUUGAAAAAAAGCAGCAAAGACAAUAGUAAUUUGAAUCAGCAGCAUAUAAUGAAAUAAAGACUCACCAUAUAUUAAAGAAAUAAUCUGAAAUCAAAUCUAUCAUUGAAUUUGAAUCAACACACUCACACACACACACUGAUCACUAAUUUAUCGACAACAAAAUACUGCAACUAACACGGUGUAUAUAUAGCAAUCGAGUACCAUAUCCACAAGGACUGACAGACGAAAAUAUUCUAAGUAAUCCUAAUAAUUCUAUAGGAAUAUUCAGGCAAAAUAAAAAAUAUAAGAUGAAGAAUAAAAAUAAUACUCACAUAAAAUAAUAAAUAAACACAAAUAAAUUAGAUAAAUAAAAUAUUAAUCUUAGGGAUGUAAUUUUGUUAAUCAAAUUCACACAAUUAACUUAAUAAUCCUAAUUACCAAUUUACUCUAGUCCUGAUGAGAGCUCACAUAAAUAACCAUACACUAUCGCUAGAUCAGUUUAUGGUAGUAGAUUAGUAAAUUCUCUAUUUUUGUUAGAUUUCAAGAAAAUCUACUAACUCUAAAAAAUUCACAAGAAUAGCUUCAUAUGAUCCACCUAUCUCCGUUAGGUCUCAAAGUUAAAAUCAUAUCACAUAUUCCUGAAUUCGUUAAACAGUUAUCUCCGCUUGGUCUCAAACUAACACUACAAAAAAACGCGUUUUUACCGGCGAAAACUACCGGCGGCUAUUUUGCCGUCGGUAGAUAACGGCGGCGGCAGUCCAGGCGACCCGAACUUUCGAAUUUACCGGCCAUCUACCGACGGCAAAUUCCCCGCCGUUAGCUAGCGGCGGCGACGCCGCCGUUAAUAUUAAAAUACGCAUUAAAUAAUUUAUUUUAUAGAUUUAACGGCGGCAAAAUUGCCGCCGCUAGCUAGCGGCGGCAUUUGCCGUCGGUAACCGUUUAAAUAUAGGGCAGCGGGUUCCUUCUUUUUUCAGUUUCUGCGCCGCACACACACACGAAAAUCCACCCCCCCCCUCCCCUGCCUGCUGCUGCUGCUUCGCCGCCGCCGCCGACCGCCGCCGCCCUAGCAGGUAUCUCUCUCUCUCUAGAUCUAUAUAUAUAUAUAUAUAUAUAUAUAUAUAUAUAUAUAUAUAUAUAUAUCUCAUUAAUUUUAAUUAUAUAUAUAUAUAUAAUUAUAUAAUUUUCACUUAUAUUAUUUAUUGUAGUUCGACGACCUCGUUUCACCGCCUUCUUCACGACACCCACCGGAAACCACCACCGUACGCUCUCUUAUUUAUUUAUUUAAUUAUUUAAUUAUGAAUGUAUUUAAUUAUAUAUUAAUUAAAUAGAUUUAUUUGUUAUAUAUAGUUAAUUAAUUUAUAAUUGAUUUUGUUUAUAACUAAAUUAUAUGAAGCAUGAUUAAUUUUAAAUUAUAUUAAUCCAUUUAAUAUAUGUUGUUAGUUUAAUUUUAAAUUAUGAAGCAUGAUUAAUUUUAAAUUAUAUUGUAAGCAUGUUUAAUUUUGUUAGAAUAAUUUAUAUAUGUUGGAUAAUUUUGUUAAAUUAAAUGUUAUGUGCUAUGUGUUUAUGAAAUGUUAUAUUAUUAUAUAUAUAUAUAUAUUGUGGGAUAGAUUUAAUCAAUUUCUUAAGGAUCUUCUCCUUUGGGAUAGAAAUUGAUUAUUUCUUAAGGAUCUUCUCCCUACAAAUGAUUUGUUUUUAAUUUAAUUACCAUGAUUUUUAUUGCUUUUAUUUGUAUUGUAUUAUUGCUUCGACAGUUUGGGGGGUCGGGUAGACCUAGUAUAGGCUUAGUAAAUUAGGACCACUAUGGUCACUAUAGUUGCUGGUAGAGUCGAGCACUUGGUAGUUAAGGAUAGUGGGGGUUAUGCUGUCGUAAAUUUGUUAGAUUUUCAAGUUAAUUUAUUAUGUUUUAUUGUUUUUUUCAAUUAGAAUUUGCAGAAUGAGUGAUAAUCGUACGUGGAUGUACGCGAGAUACAAUGAUCGUACCGCAUUUGAAACGGGGCUUGAGUUUUUCCUUGAGUGGGCGUUCAAUCAAACGGCGUACACAGAUGGACAAGGUAACAUUAGGUGCCCGUGUAAGAAGUGCAAGAAUCAAGCGUAUUUAGAUGUACCUACGGUCAGAGAACAUGUUAGUAGGCGUGGAUUUGUCCUGAAUUACAAAGUUUGGGUUUGUCACGGGGAAGCACCGCUGUCUAUGCCGAGAGAACAUGCUGUAAUGAAUGAGGAUGAUGGAUUAUACAAUAACUACGAAAGGAUGGUGCAUGACCAUGCUGGACCUAGUAAUUAUCAAGAUCCUCCAAAUCUGGAGCAGCCGCCCAAUAAUGACGCUCAACAGAUUUAUAACAUGUUGGAUGCAGCGGAUACUCCAUUGUACGCAGGAUGUGANCAGUGUGAUACAAGUACAUUACGCUAUUUCAUUACAUAUGAAAUUUAUUUACCCCAAAAAAGAAUUUGUUUAAUAGCUCAUUUCAUUCCAAUUAUAUAGGCUUAUUGUAAAAAUUAAAAAAAUUAUUGAAAAAGAAAAUUAACAAAUAAAAUUUAUAAUACACUCAUAUAAUUUAUUCUUUGACAAUGAAUUAAUAUUAGAGUCAAUCAAAAACAUAGUUAUGGGUAUAUUAGUAAAUGAAUUAAAAUAACAUAAAGUUUUAUUAAAGUUGUUGGGUGGAUUUUAGCCACAACAUAAAAGAGUAAAAAAAUAAUAGGAAAAUAACAAAAAUUUGGUGCAAAAAUAGAAGAAUCUAGCAGAGGAAUAUCAUGAUUCUAGGAGAUUCUUUGAUAUCUAAUUUCUUUGAUUAGAAUAUUGGUGAAAUCUUGAGAUCACGAACGAAAAAACUUAGGUCGAUCAAUGUAAACAUAAGUGAUAAAAGUAAUGGAAUAGUAGGGAGUGAAAAUAAAGAAAUUAUAUUACCGAAGGAUGAUUACAAGAGUAAGUAACUUUUGGAAGUGUGUGUGCAUGUAUGAAAAGCAAAAACUCUAUUUAUAAGCAAUUUUAGGUUAAGGGGCAAUUAUUAUGUUUUCAAAUAUGGACGUGUAGCAUUAAUUUUGCCAUUUCAAGUUCUUCACGCGCAAAACUCUUAAGUCAAAAUCGCCUUCUCUUAAGUUCAUGUGUAAAGAAUUAAACAAUUGUGCUAGCAAAAAUCACAUCUCUGAAAUCUUUGAAUCAACGACUUUAUUUAUCCUCAACAUUGUAGAUCUUAUUACAGACCUAAUUUGGCUCGAUCCUGUUGUAAGUCGGCCUCACUCCUCUGACCAUCGUUUUUGUUCUAAUCAGAGCUGAAAAUUAAUGGUGAGCUUAAAAUCUAUUAUGAUUAAAAUAGUUAUCUGAUUUCGAAAAUUAAUAAUAAGAAAUUUUAAUUAUUAAAUAAUCAAUCUUACUGAAAUUUAAAUCUCAAGAUAUAAACAUGAUUAUGAGACAAACAUUUAACAAUUGUUACCUAUAUUUUGGUGUUUUGGUGUAUCUUUCACUUUAAUAGGACCUUCUUACCUCACACAUCCAAAGUUUCCAUGAAACACAAGGACGGGUUAGCGGAAAUAGACCGUCUGGAAAGGGGCCUGUUACUGGACGGCGGCCCGGAUUCCGAGCCGGCCGGCCACGACGAGCAAAUCGACGGCGACGAAGACGAGCUGCCGCCCCUUUACACGGCGUCGUUUGGCGAAACCGAAGAAAAUUUCGUGAAAUACCAGACGACGCGAUGGGUUCUGUACUCGCUGCUGUUGAUACUGGCGUGGGGCAUCGGCUUGUUCAUGCUGAUUUAUCUGCCUCUACGCCGCUACAUUUUGCGCAGAGAUAUCCGCUCGCGGAAGCUCUACCUUACUUCGGAUGCAAUUGUGUAUAAAGUAAUUCCGUCUCAUCUUAUUUCGCUGUUCUUAACUUUUUCUGAUAUCUUCUACUUUGGCUGAGUUGCUUCCUUCUUAGCUGUGCCGUUGAUUUUGUUGCGAUGUGUUUCGGGAUUGGAUGGAUGCAACUUUUGAGGUGGUUGAGGUUUUAGCUAUGUUUGAAUUAUUCGAUUUUCUGUGUGUUACUUGACCAGUUUUGAUCAGCUCAGAUAUUCACCUUUUGGGAUUCAGGAACUUAAUUAGGUUUAGGUAACAACUGAAUUGCCAAUAAAAGUGGAUUUUCUGUAAAGAAUAACCUGUAUAGUUUCCAAUUUAUUCUUAUAGUGAUAAGUGAAGGAUAGAAGCUGAGGAAGAGAGGAGAAAUAUCUGACAUCUCGUCUCUCCCUCUCUCUCUCUCUUGGUUUUUUAAAUCUUUUCUUUGGUUGCAUCAGGUGAGAAGACCGGUGUCAUUUCCAUGUUUCGGGGUUCUGAAGAAAGAGAAGCAUGUCUUACUGCUUUCAGUGGCUGAUGUUGCAAUAGAACAGGGUAAAGCUUCACAAAAUUGAUCUUCCAUCUGUUUUGGUCAAAUACUCGAUUUGUGCUUUUCUUUCGGAUUCUUUAAUAUUGCGAAAAUCAUGAAAGUCUUCAAUUAAUUGACAUUGCACUUCCUCUUAUGUUCGUAAUGUCUGAAUCAAAGCCUAGCCAAAUGAGUAAUCGUAAGCAUUAUAUUGAAAACCCUGAACAAAAACUGUUACUUUCGGUAUUGUUGUGAACUGUUUGUAUGGAGUAUGGUUCAUCUUUCUAAAGUGUGUCUAGGGCACUGCUCGCUCCAUCUGUUUUGCUUCGUAAUUUUCUUUUUAUGGAAGAUUUUAAUGAUGGAUUAGCUGGUCUCUAUGUUUAUCUGCUGUGUCUGAGCUUCCAUGGCAUCCUUUUGCAUUCUCCUAAUCAAUAUUCUAUUUGUUCAUUUUAGCAAAUUUGAGUUGUCUUCACCAUAUCAAAACCAAGUUAUAAAUGCAAUUGAGAUAUUUAUCAGGAUAUCUGCAGUCCCUUUUCGGUGUAUACUCUAUUAGAAUAGAGAAUGUUGGAGUGAGAAGGCCUCCAAGUGAUGAUGUUCAAAUACAAGGGGUUACUGAUCCUCAUGCUUUCAGGAAGGUAUUAUUGUGCUCAAGGAGUCACAUGCACAUUAUAAUCAUGGUUUAGUUCUCCUAGAAAGCAUUGGACAUCGGACAUUCAUUGAAGACAUCUUGAGUAAUACCAUUUCUUACCAUCUCCAGGCUGUUCUAUCUCAGCUGUCUACCAUGAGAGGUGAGGUGUUCUCCAGACAUGUAUCUACUCUUGAUGAUAAUCCAACUCCAUGUACGGGUCAUUCUUCAGUUGCUUCGGUAUGUUAGUGCUACUAAUACUAAUGCUGAGCUUGUCAUUCAUAGAGAUUUUUUUUCAUUCUGCUCUGUCACUCUCUCUCUCUGCUACAAACAAACAUGCACACUGUCACAUGCUGAGUUGCCCAGUGAUGCCAAUAAAGAGACAUUCUUGGCAAAUAGUUUUCAAUGAGUUAUUGUACUUCCACCUUAUGGUGUUUUCCCAAAAAAAAAAAGUGAGUUAUUGUACUUGCCCUUUGUGGUAUAGUAUUUUUUAACUCGAUCAAUAUUUUUAAGGAGGUCUACUUCUGGUUUCUUUAUUUAUAUGUCUUGCUCCCACCAAUCCAUAAACAACUUUUACCAAUUGGUUUUUUUUUAAUCUAAUAAACACUUUUACUCCGCUCUUUCUUGGGUUUGGCAGAUGUCCCCUUCAAAAUUGAGGCGUGAUUCUUUUCCUCACCUUGGUGAAGUGGCGAUUUUGCAAAAAUUAGAGGAGGUUGGCAGUUCAGUGAAGGUUAGUAAAGUUACCAAUUCUCUGUAUAUUCAAUUCUGUGUGUUUGUUUUUGUCUUUACGUGGAAUAAAUUGCAGAGAGUCCAAACCUUGAUUGAAGAGCAGAAGCUUCAAGCAUCGGAACUUGCAGAAUGAGAGUUGAGGUGAACUCCCUGAGUGUGACGAAUUAUCUGCUAUCAGCAAAUGCAAAGCAUUUCCAUCUUUCAGAAGUUGAGUUGCUACUAGAGUCCAUAUUUCAGAAAGCUAACACCUAAAGAUAAUGAAAAAGAAGCCGCGUGAUAACCAGUUACCGGCUUGCAGAUUAUCAAUACUGUCAGAUUGUUGCGCCCUCCAGUUCAUCCUUAUUUGCCUCCUGAAGAGUGAGCGCUGGACUUUAAACUGCUAAGAUGAAUAUGCUGCUUUCUCUCGUUUAGUUGUAAUAAUCAUAAUUAUUUGAUCUUCCAAUCUUGACCAUGUUGUACAACUCGUUGAUUUGAAGUUUCUAUCCCAUGCCAAAGCUUGUGAACCUAGUUUGAUGCAUGUUCUACAUAUACGAGCAGCAGAUUGAUUCUAGUGAGUGAAAAAGUUUGAUCUUUUAGAUGUAAAACAAUCCGAAUUCCAGUGAAAGUAAUGAUCUUCUACUAGAGUCCAAAUUGUGUAAGAUGUUGCGUCAGUUAUAUAUGCUCGAGUAUAGAUGGGAAUGCUUGAUUUUUUGAAGGGUCGUUCUUAAAUUAUAGCCGAGAACUUCGAUCUCAUACCGACUUUUUAGUUCCAACUUAAAAUUUUCGGCCAAUUUAAGCUAAUGCGUCUUUAAGAAAUUAUCAUCAAAAUCAAUGAUAUACCAACAAACAUAAUUUUGAAAUUGUCAAUUUUUCGGUUCGAUUAUACUAGUUUUUAAGAAAAAAAUGUUUGGUAAAUUGAAAAUCGAGCCGAAAUAAUAAUUAAUUUAAUAAUUUAUACAUAUAUAUUUAAAAAUUAAAAUGAUUGUUAUUACUAUUCAAUAAAAUAGUAAAUAAUUAUUCUUAAUUUAUACUCUUAAUCUUGGUCAACUAAAAAAAUUAAAGUAACUUUUCAAUAAUUACUCUUAAUUUUUGGUUAAGAUGUUUUGAAAUAUUGAAUUAUUAUUUUUUGUGGAUUUCGAUUCUUAUAUAUUAAAUGUUAAUUAGUUAUUUAAAUUUUAGAAAAUAUAUUGUGUAUUUACUUCGAUUAUUUUGGUUUUAACUGGAACUGAAUCGAAAUAUUUCGAUUCGAUUUUGUUCGGUUUUAGGCAUGUUUGGUUCGGAUUUGGAUAUUAAUUAUAUAAUUUGGUUUUAAUUUGAUUUUUACUAUACAGUUCGAUUCGGUAACCGAAUAAUCGAAUGCUCAUCCCUGUUUUUAUACCAUAACCUUGUUCUUUUAAAUAUCUAUUUUAAAAGAAAUAGAUUAAGGGAGUAUUUUUAAAUAUCUUUGUCCUUGUUUUGAUGAUACCAAAACCCUUAGAUUUUCCUUUACUAGACUAGAAUAUUUUGAACCCAAGUGUUAGAGUUCAGUUUACUAGUUAGAUUGAUGGAUGAAGACUGAAGACCGCUAGAUUGAAGAUUAGAGGACUGAAGACACAUGACUGAAGAUUGGAAUUGAAAAGGCUGAAGACAAAAUACUAAAGUAUUUUGAAGGACGAGCUCUCACUGAAGAUUCAGUUAUGACUGAAUAACUAAUGCUGGCCACGUGGAAAUAACGAACUGAUACAUAAAUCAAGUAUCAGUAGACAUUCUUCCUCGGAUUGAACACUUAAGUUUAAAAGAAGCCACGUAUUCACGCCAAGUACAGCUGCAUUAAAUGCGAAGAUAUGAAGAUCGUCCUCGCCUGCGCAAAGCUUUCCUAUUUCGUGCUAACUUUUCAGAAGCACCAUGCUGCUACUGCUAGAGACGCUCAUUCCUCAACCAAUCAGGAACCUUGAAGAUUGAAGCCUCAACCAAAGAUUCAAAUCUAUCUCACAACGGUCGAAUUCUUGAAGACCAUCUCACCAACGGAUCUAUUCAAGACUUCGCCUAUAAAUAGAGCUCGAGGAUCGCCUUCAAUCUUUACCGAUUCAAACACUCAAGCUGAAGCUCUGCCAAAUUUGCGACUCAACCUAUUCACUGCAUUCCAAAGUUUGAAUCAAAGAAGAGAAUAUCCAAAGCCAAAUCAGUUUACUGAUUACUUAAAUUCUCUUACAAUCUUAGGCAAUCUCAUUGUAAACCCUUAGCCUAAGUCCCGAUUACUGAGAGUCUGUUCUCUGUAAUCUAGUUGGUACUCGAACCCUUUUCUAAAAGAGCAAAAAGUGAGUUUGAAAGAGAGAAUUCUAGACAGUUGUCUGAACUCAAGAGUUCUUAGCCCCUGCUUGAGAUAGCUCUUGAAAUCAGCCCAACUUGGCGGGAGCUUCUCGAUGACUGACCCAGCGGUGAAAGCUUCGGGCAAGUUCAUUCCUUCGGACGCCAGCUCGUGCAAGAUGAGUUGGAACUCUUGCACUUGGUCCAUGAUCGAUCGACUAUCGACCAUCUUGAAGUCUAAGUACUUCGCUAUUACAAAUUUCUUUGUUCCCGCAUCAUCACUACGGUACUUCUUUUCUAGUGCCUCCCAAAUUUGCUUGGAGGUCUUUACAUUGGCAUAUACAUUAUAUAAGCUAUCCUCUAAGCCCCCCAAAAGGAAAUUCUUACAAAUGUAGUCUCCAUUGCACCAAUUGUCAUACUCGGCACGCACCCCAAAGCUGGUCUCGUUUUCUGCAGGCACAGGAGGCUCGUCUUCCCUCAAGAAAUUGACAAAGCCCAACGUCGUGAUGUAGAACAUCAUCUUUUGUUGCCACAUCUUGAAGUGUGACCCACCAAAUUUAGGUGGCUUUUCAGCUGGCGGCAACAUCCUUGAAGACUGUAGCGGCGCCGAAACAGUUCCACUCCCGGAACCACCAGAUUGGAAUGAACCAAACGUGAACCCCGACAUAGUCGGCCAACAGAACUAGUUCCAUUCCCAGAACUACCAUCUCCUCUAAGGCUGGUUUGAAAUGAACCAAAAUUAAAUGGCAAUGGAGUAGGACCUCCAAAAUUCAUACCAGCAGACCCGCCAGAGUAGCGGAAGCAGUGGCAUAGGUGGAUGCAUCAACAGUUGAGUUGACAGUGGCGGCAGCAGUGCCGGAGGUAGCAGCAGCAGUAGGAGGAGGCGGCGGCAGCGGCAGCGGAGUCGGAGGUGUUGGUAGGAGUAGUUGACAUUUUCAGUUAUAACAGCAACAUGUACUAUCUCGUCUUGCGAUUGUUGGAUAGUACACCCGUGAAGCACAAUACAACUUAAACAAAGCAAAAUUACAACGGAAAACUGGAAAUGCACUUAAAAUAAACUAGAACAAACUCAAAGCCGAGUCGAUGAGUCCUCUCUCCGCAAGACGAGAUACGCCCCAGUAGUGCUCACGGUAAGGCGUGUUGUCCCCAAUGAUGAAACGGCUUUGUCCUUCAAAGUAGCAACACCGUGAACUAAGAAGGCUCCGACGAACUAGAUGAGACGAGAAUUGAGCUUUAUGCUCCUACGAAUGCAGCUAGGAUGAUGAUAUGAGAUGGAGAGAAGAGAGAACUUGUGUGUUUGUAUGUUCUACUCCAUCAACAAAUGAGGCUAUAUAUAGCCACACCAUGGGAGGUGAAAGGCCUUAGCUUUCAUGAUGCCAUCAUGGCUAGCCAUUAACCAUUGGUGGUUACAGCAGCUGAAAGGCCAAAGGUAUUGGCAGUUACGACAGCUCAAANUAAAUAGCGAAGAUAUGAAGAUCGUCCUCGCCUGCGCAAAGCUUUCCUAUUUCGUGCAACUUUUCAGAAGCACCAUGCUGCUACUGCUAGAGACGCUCAUUCCUCAACCAAUCAGGAACCUUGAAGAUUGAAGCCUCAACCAAAGAUUCAAAUCUAUCUCACAACGGUCGAAUUCUUGAAGACCAUCUCACCAACGGAUCUAUUCAAGACUUCGCCUAUAAAUAGAGCUCGAGGAUCGCCUUCAAUCUUUACCGAUUCAAACACUCAAGCUGAAGCUCUGCCAAAUUUGCGACUCAACCUAUUCACUGCAUUCCAAAGUUUGAAUCAAAGAAGAGAAUAUCCAAAGCCAAAUCAGUUUACUGAUUACUUAAAUUCUCUUACAAUCUUAGGCAAUCUCAUUGUAAACCCUUAGAAGAAGACCCGAGUACUGGAGUGUUCUCUUCAACAAAAUAGGCAAUUAAACCCACACCAAAAGAAGACAAAAAUAGAGUUGAAAGAGAGAGAAUUCUAGAUAGUUGUCUGAACCAAGAGUCUUAGCCCCUGCAAGUAAGACGUCUUGUCGUUGCAACAGCUGAAAGGAGAUGAGAAGUCCAAUCCAGUAUCAUUUCCCACUCACCAGAAAUUGGUUUUGAGACAAUGAAAAUACUGCGAUUUAUCUAUAUAAAAAAUAUAGAAUAAUCAUAUUAUAUUUGAUCCUUUAGGAAUUAAAUAAACAACCACCACAAAUUAGUUAAGUAUAAAACAUACAAAACUAAUUUCCAACAUCGCUUUCAGUUAUUGAUUUUCCUCUGCUUUGUUCAAACUCUAUAUCCAAGUGAAACUGGUUAAUUGAAAAGUGAAACUUAAAAAUUGACUAAGUGUUAAUCACAAAGGCUAUUUCUUAAAGUUUAAUUUUGGUUGUGGUGUUAUCAGUCUAACUGACAAACCCUUGGAUAGUCAGUAAAAUUUAUAACACUUAUCUGAUUUCAAAAUCUAGACUGAAACCUUCUAUGGAUUAUCAGUUAUCGCUUCGUGUUUCACUGAAAUCAAAUAUUGAAACUAUUUUAGUAUCAGUCUAACCAUUUUUCUAAACUGAAAUAUCUUUGAUUGUUGGCUUCAAUCAGUCAGUACUCUUUCAGUAUCAGGUGAUACUCAUUUCAAUUUUACAAAUUUUUUUUCGAAAAUAACUCACUGGUGUGUUCCCCCUACAUCAGUUCAGUGACCCUCCGAGAUCCAACGCCUUUCAAAUUAGAAGGUCAAAUAGAUUUGCUAUUGAGCUAUGAGCCCACCAAACCUGAAACCAGGCUAAAGAUUUUAGAAAACCAAGGUUUUUGGUGAGAGAGAGAGAACAGACUUCAUCUCAGUUCUGUAUAAACAGUGUAAUGACUCAGGUCAGGCGUCUCAGGUACUGCUGCAAAAAAAUCCAAAUAUUUAUUGUUCAAAGAAAACUAAAAAGAAAAAAGAAAAUAAAUAAAUAAAUGACGAUACUGAAUACUUCUCUCUCUCUCUCUCUCUCUCUGCGGCUCUCUGUUUCUCUCCCUCUCUCUCUCUCUCUCCAGAUUCAAUCAAUGAAAACCGCCCUCUCGUUAUCGUUAGUUUCACCAUCGUUAUUUCAAAGCACACACGUCACUCCUACCUUACUCACUCUACGUACUACAUAAGAGAGAGAAAAAUUGACCACAACAUAUAUAUAUAUAUAGAUACAUAUAGCUAGUGUAUGCUUACUACAGAUAGAUACAGGAGAUACACAGCCAUAGAUUCUGUAUAGCGGUCGAGUAUUGGCGGAGAGCGGAUUUCGAUGGCGGCGUCAUCGGUGAUGUGCUCUUGGCUAAUGGCCGCAUGCAUGUCCGUCGCCUGUGAGAGAGAAUCCGGCGUUUCUACGCUGUCGACGAACUCACCACGCCCCACCAACCGCCGCAAGAGGCUUCUCGCCAAAUGUGAGCCGCGCAUUGGGAAUCUCAUGAAUUCCUCUCUUACCUUAAAGCCCCUCCACCACUUGGAUAAAUCUCACGAAUGUUUCUUCGGCUUCGAAUCGAGGAAUGUUCCGAUGCAGCGCGGCCGCCGGAAAUUCCUCCGCCCCUCCGCCCUUUCUGGUGCAGUGCUCUUGCUCAUUAUUGUUCUGUGCUAGUGUAUGUAUUCUGUGUGUGUCUGUGUGCGUGUUUUCUUUUCCCGAUUCCGAUAACUGUUCGAUCAUGUUUGGAUUAUUAUUCUAAUUCAUUUGUGGUCCUCCAUGGAUUUUAUUAAAUUUUGACUUAAUUUACUUCUUUCCCCCAAUUUAUUGUCAAUGGCCUGAUUAUGAAUUUUAAAGUUACUUUGGGAGGAUUCGUUUCAAUCAGUUCUUAGUUUUUGAAUUUUGUUUUGGACGGAUAAACUGGAAGUUGUACUAUGUUUUUCUCCAUACUUUAUUGCAUAUUUCUUGUAUCAGCUUCAUUGGACUGGUGGCUCGCAUUGUGGUGCAGUUGUUGCUCUAACUUCACUAAUACAAGUGAUGCUAACCUACUUUCUGAGUAAAAUUUUGGGUUUUGUGGUGGGUGGGUGCGAUUGGGUUCAGUUAGGUUUGCCAAUUUGUAUGUUGUCGCUUUCCCUUUCUCAUCCCAGCAAUUUCAGUGUACCUGAGAGUUUGACAGCUAGGGGUCAAUGGGCAGUUCAUCUUACUCUGGACAUUUAGUAUUAUUCAUUUCUUAGAGUAGGGACUCUACAAAACACUUUAGCUAUGCUUUUCUUAUGCAUUUUAUGAGUUUACCUGUGCUAUUAGUGGAUAUAUACAUAUGUACAUGGAUAUAUUAAUUUUUGUUAUUCCUAUGUGAAAUACAGGAGAAACGAUGGCAGUAGCUGUAAGUCCGGCCAUGGAAGUUUCACCCAAAAAGAAACCUCCAACCAAGCAAAGACGUGUGGUUGUGACAGGUAUGGGUGUGGAGACACCACUUGGCAGUGAUCCAGAUGUCUUCUAUAAUAAUCUGCUAGAUGGAGUCAGUGGAAUUAGUGAGAUAGAGGCUUUUGAUUGCUCGCAGUUUCCAACCGUAUGUCUUGAGCAUAUCUCCUUUUCAUUGUUUCAGGAUAGUUAGAUUUUGUUACUAAGGGGUUUCAAUUGCAGAGAAUUGCAGGAGAAAUCAAGUCAUUCUCAACAGAUGGCUGGGUUGUACCUAAACUUUCCAAGAGAAUGGACAAGUUCAUGCUUUACAUGCUGACAGCAGGAAAGAAGGCAUUGGCUGAUGGAGGAAUUACAGAGGAUCUCAUGAAUGAACUGAAUAAAGCAAAAUGUGGUGUGCUAAUCGGCUCUGCUAUGGGUGGAAUGAAAGUAAGUUUAGUUUUUUAUUUGCUUAACAUCGAAUAGAGAAGGUGGCUGGGUAUUAACUUGUUUUGAGAGCCAAGCUAUAAAUCUUAUUAGAUAGUUUGCUUGCUGCUCAUAUUGAGUUUUGGCCUUGUAGUUAAAAUCCAAUUUUCUGCUAUCUGGUUCACAUGCAUGUACUUUCUUCUUGAGAUUACAGACUGGAACCAUUUGUAUACUUUAUGUUUCAUCAAAUGAAAAUGAGAAUGUCACAUUUGGUCUGGCGGGGUACUUUUCUUUAGUUCUGCAGUUUCAAUAGCUGCUUAAAGUUCCACCAUAGUGAUCUAAAUGCUUAAGGCUUGUAAGAUAUGAUGUUCUUUCCUACAGUUUUGGUUGAGAUAUUUUCUAUCACAGUACAGUUUGCCCCCUCUCUCAGUGGGUUUUGUAUUUGUACAGGUUUUUUAUGAUGCAAUUGAAGCAUUGAGGGUCUCAUAUAGGAAGAUGAAUCCAUUUUGCGUCCCUUUUGCAACUACCAACAUGGGUUCUGCCAUGCUUGCUAUGGAUCUGGUUAAAUAAAUUCCUUCUCUUUUUACUUUUGUGGUUUGGAUAAUGCAUAACGCGUGACAUCAUCUUAAGCUUAAUUAUUACAGGGAUGGAUGGGUCCAAACUACUCCAUAUCUACUGCUUGUGCAACAAGUAACUUCUGCAUACUAAAUGCUGCUAACCACAUCAUCAGAGGUGAAGCUGUAAGUCAUCUGAUUUCCUCUUUCAAUAUCCAGGCUAGUGGUUUUCAUUCCCGGCUGUUAUGCAUCGAUUGUUUGGUGAACCAACAGGGAAAUUCCCAAAGAUAGUGAGUUAUGUCUUUCUCCUUGCCUGAUUCAUCAGACUGUUGAUAUUUUUCAGGACAUGAUGCUUUGUGGUGGCUCAGAUGCAGCAAUUAUACCUAUUGGUGACUAUCCUUUCUCUUGUUCAUAAAUUUCAAAUUUGAUUUUUAAGCGUCUUAACCAUCAACUCUGGUGUAGGCUUGGGAGGCUUUGUUGCAUGCAGGGCAUUAUCACAACGAAACAGUGAUCCAACUAAAGCCUCACGCCCCUGGGAUAGUGUAAUGUUCUGUUCAUUUUAUCUGUAUCAUAUGUGCAUAAAUUUGAUAGAAAACAUCAUCUAUCUGCAGAAAUGUUCAUGCCUCGCAUGCUCACAUUGCUGCAUUUUCUGGAAGCUAGACUACAAAAUGAAAAUGUCAUUUAUCUCUUUAUCUAAUAAUUGUAUCAGUACUUUUGGUUACUUUAUCUUCAUUUCCUUGUAAGAUAAAUUUUAACUCUUGAUACCAUCGAAGAACCACAUAUAGCUUAACCACUCAAUAGUACUCCCUCCGUCCCACUCCAAAUGUCUCCUUUCUUUUGGGCACGGAGAUUAAGAAAUGUGUAUAAAGUAGAUAAAGUGGGUAUAAAGUAGAUAAAGUGGGUUGGUGGAAAUUGUUUAAAUAUUAAGUAUAGAGAGAGAGUGUAUUGCCAAAAAAGGAAAUGGGACAUUUGGAGUGGGACAACCCAAAAUAGAAAAUGGGACAUUUGGAGUGGGAUGGAGGGAGUAGCAUUUUGUAACAACUUAUGUGGACUGGCAUGGUAUUGUGGUGGCUGUAUAAUUAUUACAAUACAGAACUUUUGAGUGGCCAAAUAUAACAUUUCAAUAUCCAUGAUCUCAGUUCUCACCCAACUGCUCAACUUGCAAGCCUGCAGUAUGUGGUGGUAGAAUAAGAGCUAGUUAGAGCCCUGCUGUUCUUGGUUCUCAUGUGUCACUUUAUAAAAUUAUGUGUAAUAUUUGACAGAGUCGUGAUGGAUUUGUUAUGGGAGAAGGUGCUGGAGUACUGCUCCUGGAGGAACUUGAACAUGCAAAGGUUUUUCAAAGCUGUCAACCUUAGCAAGACUUAAUCUUUUACAUUAUAUGCAGGAAAUUUUCGUGAUGGCUAAUAAUUUUUACAAAAUUACAUGUCAAACCAUUUAUGGAUGAGCAGAGUAGAGGUGCAACUAUCUAUGCUGAGUUUCUUGGAGGAAGCUUCACUUCUGAUGCUUAUCACAUGACAGAGCCUCACCCACAAGGUAUACCCCUUGAUUUACUUUGAGCUGUACAAGUUAUUUUGUGAAUGAAGAGAAUUCAAGGUUGCGGAUAUAUGAGUUAUGCGAUACAGCUUCAAUUCAAUGAGUAAGACUGUCAGAGAAAGGGGGUGAACUGUCAACAACUCUCUACGUAAUUAGUUGCCAUCUGCAGAAACUAUUAACUACCAAACCCUACACACUGUACCCACUCUAGCAAAUAUACAGUCAAUAUUUGUUGUUUUAAAUUUGAGUGCAAGAAUUGUCUCAUCAUUAGGCCAUUUCAUCUAUUCCAGAAACAAGUAAAUUGUCCUUUCAACACUACGAACUUAUUUUGUAUCACAUGCUGUGGCAAUUAUUUUGCAAGUUAUUCCUUGAUAUUGAAACGAUGGAUUUGCUGGAAAGUUUGAUUUUGGGGUAGUGAAUAUUGCAAAUAAUCAUAAACUUAGUUAUAUAAUAUAUUGCAUAUAAAUUUGUUUCUGGAAGAGUCUUCUUGUAUGUUUCUUGAAAAAGUUUGGAAUUUAUUAGGAGCUAAUGUAUUAAGAUAUUUAACUGAAUUUCUUAAAGAAACACAAGAAACAUAAAAAGACUAAUACCCAAAGCAAUUAAAAUUGUUGGGUUGCUUCCUAUCUAAAUCCAUAGUAAAACUUUGGUUUUCUUUCGGGCCGAUGUGUUCCCAAAUGAUAUUUGUUCAUUCUUACAGUUUGUACGAAACAAGCUACCAGCACCUCUCUUCAGUGCUCUCUUAAAAUUGCCAAAAAGUACAACAAAAAACUUGAAAGAAGAUGGUUUAGAUAUUUAAUCUUAGGUCAAUUGCAUUGUCACUAUGCUAGUUCUACCAUUUGAGCAAUUAAUAUAGAGAGACCUAACAAAUUUUACUUCACAGAAUAACUAAGAACAAACUGCAGCUAUAUUUAUGUUUGACCUUUUCAAAUUUUCUGAUGAGUACUUAAAAUAAUUAUAUUAUACACAUAAAAUAAAACAAGUGAGCUUGCCCUUUUAAACAGCCUGGAAAUUUUCACUUUACUGUUUUAAUUCUAUAGUUGUAAUUUUGUUUGCAUUUAUCCAUGGGAUAUGCACAUGGAAACUUAUUUUUCAUGAAUUUGGACAUGAUAUUUGCAUCUUUAAAACUGCAUGGCAUGCCCUAUCUCUGGUCAUUUUCCAGAACAGAACUCAUUAACUGUGGGCUGUUUCAUAUACAUUGCUCAGUGAAUGUAUCAAUUGAAUUGUUUAUCAUUAUCCAACUACUAUAACCUCAAAGAUGAUACAUUUUGACUACCAAAUGGAACAAUUAAAUUAUGAGUAAUGAAAAUGCAGAAGCAUUAUGUAACAUCUCUGGGAUGGAUAAUUGCUAGAUUUUCAUCAGUUUAUUCCAUUGACAGAUUGACUGAUAAUUUUGCUCUAUCUGGAUAGUUACUAAUUUGCUGUAUUUAGAACAGGUAUUACAUAUUGGUCCUAAUAGUUAUCUUGUGUGUUCUCUUUGGAUGUUGAGCUGUUCCGAUCAAGUUCAACUUCAACUUCUGCAGUAUACAAAUUAGAAGUAAUCAGGCUUCUGAAUAUGGUAGUGCCUGCUGCCAUGUGUUUUGACCUCCUGACCUUAUCUACAAGCAGGAACUGGUGUCAUUUUAUGCUUAGAGAAGGCUUUGGCUCAAUCAGGAGUAUCUAAAGAAGAUGUGAAUUAUAUAAAUGCACAUGCGACUUCUACUCCAGCUGGUGAUCUUAAGGAGUAUCAGGCUCUUCUUCAUUGUUUUGGCCAGAAUCCAGAGGUCUCCUCAUUUACUCAAACUCUUUCAUCUAUCGAUAGCAAGGUGUUUGUACAGAUUGUGGCUAAUCCUAAUAUUUUUUUAGUUGAGAGUGAACUCCACAAAAUCCAUGAUCGGGCACCUACUUGGAGCAGCUGGUGCUGUUGAGGCUGUUGCAACCGUCCAGGUGCCUGAAAUAUUUAGUUUUUUUGCACAGGGUUCUAAUACUUCGGCAUAACUUUGAUAUAUUCAUUUGCAGUACUCUUCAUAAGGAUAUAUGCAUUGAAAAAAGUGAGUGUCUUAUAGAUAUUUGCUAAAGUAGUAGGAGUUAUUGACUUAUUGUUAUUAUAAUAUAUUUUUUAAAAUUUUCAUUUCCUUUCUGGACUUCUCUCUUGCCCAAGUUGGCGACUGGGUGGCACUUGGCCUUCCCAAUCUCCUAUGUGGGAAAAGGGACCAGAUUUGUAGUAAUUUAAAUUAAGGGAUGGAGAUAAAGUUUUUCUAAAGGAAUACGGUGCUUAAUUUGUAAUUUCUAAGUAGAGAGUGUGGAAACGUGUUUUUCCCUGGGAUGAUCAGUUGUUGGAAGGAUUUGAAGAACAUGUAGGAUCUUUUCUAACUCUUCCAUCCGCUGCUUAAUUCUGUCCAGGUUGAAUAAACUCAGUCUAAUUGCUGUUAUCAUUAUUUAUCUGUUUUUUCCCCCUCAUUUUCUUGAGGUUCAUAAUUGAUCUAGAAGAGAUGGCCUUUGUGUGAUUUCUUGGAGGAUUUUGGUUGGAAGGUUAAUAUGAUGGUAAUUGGUAAUCGGGGAACAGUUUGAAACGUUGGAGUAUAAGAUUCCAUGUUUCGUGAACUAGCAUACUUAACUUCUCAUAAUGCAUAGUUCUUAUCUUGAGGCUUUGAAACUUUUAAAGAAAACUAUGAUACUUAAAUUGAAUUUAAGACAUUGUUUUGGCAUUUCAAAUUUCCUUCACCACGAGAAACUAUAAGUGCUGAUGAAAACUCAGCAACUUGAAUAUUAUUGAUGAGAGAAUCCAGCUCAAGUAUUUGGAUUGUAUCUUCUUGCCCUUUAUGUUCUACAAAUUAAACUAUGGGUUUGUGCUUUCGUUUAUGCCUUUUGAUCAAUUUCAGUAUCAUAUUUGAAAGCCCUUAUGCUAAUUAAUUCCAGUUGAAUAUUAUAAUCUUCUUGCAGUUUCUUGGAUCAUCCUUUUAACGUAAUUAAUUCCAGUUAUGGUGAUAGGAAAUUUGUUUCCUAAGUUCUUAAAUGAUGGGUUUCUAAAUUCUGAAGUAGAGUUAAAUCUUUAAAAUACUUCCUUUCAGCUUCCUGUAGCUGUUGGGAGGCUCUUCAUGUACCUUGUGUCCUUACCUUAUCUGGUUCAUUGGUCCCUGAAGCGUGAUUGAAUGAACUGUUAAAUCUAUGCAUGUCCUCCCUGUAGCCUUUCUCCAUUGACUAUCCUGCCAAGUCUUCUAAGUUCUAUGGAAUUCUAUCCUGCCAAGUCUUCUAUGGAGUUCCAUCCAUUCAGUUCCGUCAUAAAGUCUCUUUGUUGUCCAUCAAGAAUUUUAAUCUUUUGAUUCUUUGUCUCAUUUUUCAACUUUCUGCACUUACCAUCAUACAGCCAAAAUCAUGCACAUCAUUAAAAUAUCGUGACAUGGCAUAGAGACGUAGUAUCAUGACCACAGUGGAGAUACUAUUGAUCCAUGCUGGUGACUCUGUUUUUAAACAGUAUAUUACAAGAAAGUUUUGAUUCUACCGUCUCCAUAACAUGUGGGCUUUGAGUGUUUUCCUUCAAUUCUGAAAAGUUAGUUAGCUCUUUUGUUAAGGUUCUGAAGAUUACUACCCUGAUAGAGAAUGACUUUAACUACCUCAGUUACCUCUUUUAAAUCAUUAGUAUCAAGGUUAACAUCUUCCAUCUAGCAUCUUCACCUAAAAGCAUUUACUCCUUCAGGAUGGAGAGCCUCUGGAUUCUAAGCUGAUGCGACACUUACAUUUAUGUGAAAUUUAUUGAUAUGCAUCUGGAUGGAUGUUAUUGGCCAAUUGAAUUUACAUACCACCCAUGAACAUCUGGAGUUAUAAUCUGUUGCUAAAUCAUAAUCCUUGUCUUCUUAUAGGCAAUCCGAACUGGCUGGGUUCAUCCAAAUAUCAAUCUUGAGAAUCCAGAUGAUGGUGUGGUAUGAAUUUUCGCAGUCCCUUAUUAAUUUUGUAUGGCAUCACUGAUAUAACAUAGCAUAUUCCUGUUUUUUGCCAGACAUUUUUUUGUGGGUAAAUAAAUGCAUAAAAAUAAAAAGUAUACAGUUGCAUACCCUGAGGGGUGUUUACUUUUGAGGAUUAGCCUAGAUAGAUAAAAAUAGGAAGGGUAAUCCAUUGUUUACUAAGAUGAAUUGCAGUUUUGAGAUAUCCCAAGGCCCUUGAUAAUUAUUAUCAUUUGAGCUAGGUUUGCAUGAUUCAUAUCCCAUUGAAAGAGUGAGAUUGGAUAAAUCCUAGUCUUGAGGAUAUAAAUACUCAAUCAUGCAUAGUAAACGCCCCUAAGGAGAGCAACUCAAAUGAGCAUGAGCAGGGGACGGAAAACCAAGAAAACUAACAACUUAGUGUUCGCCCCCCCCCCCCCCCCAACUCCCCACGUAGUGCAAACCUUAACCNGGGAAACCGAAACGAAACGUAAAUAACUUAGUGCGCGCCCCCCCCCCCCCCCCCCAAUCCCCCAGUAGUGCAAAACCUUACCAUUCAUUAUUUAUUUGAAAAAUAAGUUAUCUUAAUUCAUGACAUAUUUGAUCUCAGCUGGUUAUUUAAGUUAGAUGAGGAGCAUGUUGAGAAACUAAUUUUAUUUCCUAGUAUAGAGAAAUAUAGAUAGGGGAUACAUGACUGCAUUGCAACUAGAAAAUUGUCUUAAAUUUAUUUUUACCUUUUACUUUUAAUCAGAUUAACCCAAGAUUGUAUACAUGCUUAUUAACUGACUCAAGCUCACUAGUCAAUCCAUGCAUGCAAUGUUUACCAAUGGACAAGAAUGCACUUCCUUAUAUGUUAAUAAAGGUCACUCAUGAUUCAGGAUGCAAAUGUGCUAGUGGGGCCAACAAAAGAAAGACUCGACAUUAAAGUGGCAUUAUCUAAUUCGUUUGGGUUUGGUGGUCAUAACUCAUCGGUUUUGUUUGCUCCGUACAAGUAGAUUUUACUGUGCUUGUAUCUGGAUGAGAAUGAUGCAGAGGUACGUGUGUCUCAAGAUUUUACCGGGAAAAAGGCGCUCAACACAACUGUAAAGGCAUACUGCAUUUCUUUUCAGUGAUAUGCGAGGUACAUUCCUUAGUAAUUAGCAUCUCUUUCGAAGUUCGUUGCUGUGAUGUAUAUGCCUGUUAGAGGAGAGCAACCUUACUCUGUGUGCCAGGUGCAAGGUUUAGGUCAAUUCAUUGGCAGAGGCAGAGGUUGUGUUUGUGGAAUUAUAUUUCGUAUCGAGAGUAGUUUGCCUUGCUACUAAGAGGAUCAUCUUCCUACCCUCUCCACUGUUUUUGCUCAGCUUUUUUGUGCUAGAAUGGGAUUAAUGAAACUAGUGUUCAUAAAAUGAAGUGGAUUCGGAUUUUUUUUUUUUUUUAUUCUGAUACUCGUUUAGACCAUUUGGAUGCAGUUUAAUCAGAUAAACCCCUUUAUAAAGUCGAAGUAAAACCUGAGUUGCCAGUGUAACAUUAAAUUUCACUCUGAUUUGCUUCAACUGGGUAUAAGGUAUGAUAUAUUCCGAAUUUACAACGGUGUCGCAUUCGAGCUUGUAUGGAAGGUGGCAUACAAGAUAAGAAUUCGAGAUAGGGGUGAACAUUUGAAUUUCAGUUUGAUUUUUUGUUAAAACCAAAAUGAACUGAAUUUGUGAUUUAAAAAAACAAAAUAUUUAACCGAAUUGAUUAGUCCGAAAAUAUAAAUCGAAUUAUUCGAGACUUUAGAAUCAAAAUCGAACUGAUAGGAAAAACCAAAAAAACUUGAAAAGAUCGAACUUGAUAUUUUUCAUUUAAUGAUCUUAUUUUGGAAUUAGAAUUAAAUUAUUAUAUACUCCUACAUAAUUUGGAUUUUGGUUUUGAAAAUGUCAAAUCAAAGUAAAUUGAAUAAUCUGAAUUUUCAAAAAAUAAAACAAAAAAUCGAUCCUAUCCGAAAAUUCAAAAAAAUCAAAUCGAAUUUGAUAUUUUAAUUUGAUUUGAUUCAAUUAUUUGAAUUUUGACUCUUUUGUUUAGCUCCUAAUUUGAGACUGAAUAAUUUAGAUAUAUUAGAGCAUUCAUAUUGGUUGAGUCAGUUACUGACUCAUCCAUGCUCCGGGAUCACUUAUGAGUCAAGAUCUGCAUUGGUCUGACUCAUCAUGUUGGCUCAUAUAAAUUAGUUUUGAUUUUUGCAUUUUUCAUUUAAGUUAAAUGACACCAAUUUGUUGUUAAAAUUAAAAACUUCAUUAAUUUAAAAUACGGACAAUUAAAAUUUCAUAAAAUUAAAAAUACCUAAAUUAAAAUACAUAAUUUAAAAUUACAUAAACUUAAAACUAGAUUAAUUUUCGCCCCUUUGCCUCGCUAGAAUCGUAGCCACCCGUUGUCGAAGGAAUUCCAGUUGCUCGGGUAUCAUGUUCGACGUAUCCAUGAAUAUAAUACGGUCGCCAUGUAUCUCUCUCUUGAGAUGAUUCUUCGUCUCGUACUCUUCGACAAUUUUUUCGAGGGUGGAGCGCGUCUCACCCAUGAAUUCCACACACUCAGGAGGAGCUGCUGAGCCUUCCGACGCUUUGGCCUUUGCCGUUUUGUUACCUAUUGUCUGGGUAGACGAAAUUUCUUCGCUUGAGGUCGAGGUAGUGAAGUCGUUGCUCUCCUCCGUUUUUGUCCUCUUAGAGGAAUACACGUCUCCUUCAAAGUAAAAUGACUUGAACUUCUGAUUCACCCGAAAAAUUCUCCACGCGUUUCGCCACUUGAAUGGAAGAAGAGGUGGUGUGUUAUGUGAGGAUGCACAGGAAUCACAACCAAUUAAAGUUAAUAAAUAGUAAUUGAAGAUUAAUAAUAAAUUUUUAUUAUGUACGAGUCAUCUAUGUAUAUGAAACAAUAAAAUCAACUUAGUUGGUAAGAUAUAUUUGAUUAAUAAGUUGGGGGAUCGAGUCAUCUAGUGUACGCGAAUAUGAGUUUGUGUUAGCAUAUAUAAUUCUAAAAGAAAAAAGUAAAAAUAAAAAGAAAAAUCUACUUAUAUGGUUUUGAUUCUAAAUUCUAAAUUUGGAACAAAAUGGCAUUAACAGGAUAAAUAAAUUUCCUAUUUAGUCUAAUAUUCCAAAUCACUUUUUUUUUUGAAGCGAUAUUCCAAAUCACUUUAGUUGACACUGUUGUAAAUUUUCUUUUCAAAGAAAAAUCAUCUCAAAAUAAUAAAGUAUUAUUUGUAACUUUAACCACUUACUUUGGAUAAUGUAAACGAUAGCAUGCCUAUAAACACACGUUUUCCUAAAAGUUUUUAACUUUGGAAAAACAUAUUUCUCUCUCAAAAAAAAAAGAACAUAAGGAUGUCAAUCCAAUCCAAAAUUUGUGGUUGAUCCGAAUCGAAUAGAGCACAUCGAGAGAGUUAUGAUUGAAAAAAUUUAAUAGAAAAAGGUUCUAAUCCGAAUGAUCUAUAACUGGAUAGCCGGACAAUCCAAUAGGCUGGCCUAAAAAUAGCAUGAAUCUAAUAGGACUGACCUAAUAACGAGUGUGUUGGAUUAAUUAAAUAUAAUAAUUUUUUUUUCCAGAUAUUUGUGAAAUGUAUUUUGAUUCAAUAUUCAAAAUCUAAACCCAUUAUUUUACUUAUUUGUAUUUUUAGCCUAAUGCUUAACAUAAAAUGUUUAGAUAUAAGAAUUAGAAAACGAUAUACUACUCGUUUAAGAAAAAUGUGUAUUCUUAUCCCCCUAACAAUUACAAUAUUGUUUAUUAUGUAAGUCAUUUGUUAUAUAGAUAUCGAAUUAUCAAUAGAAAUAUAUUAAUUAAUUUUUAUAUAUAAAUUUUCGAGUCUGAUUGAACUGACGAAUUAACUUGAAAUUCAAAAAUUUAGAGUUAAAUUGAGAAUUUAGAGCAUGAAAAUUUUCCAUUCGAAUAACUCAUAAUUAUAAUCUAAUAAAAUUAACCCAAAACUCAAUAGAUUGACCUUAUUUACAUUCCUAACAUAACUGUAGCAGUCCCCAAGGGGACACCAAACGGUGCGACCUCAUGUGUAUGAAUAAUGAGGUCCCGGGUUCAAACCCCACUGCUCCCCCUCCCCAACCACCCCCAAGUCAAAAAAAAAAAAAACAUAAUUGUAGGUUGGUUGAGUAUUUUCUUCAUCAUCAAUGCUAAGCUCCAAUCUUACCUUUUCAAUAAGAUAUAAAUCAAGUAAAUUAGCUCAUCAAAUGAUAGAAAUUAUCGAGAGUUUUAGAUAUUUCAAAGUUUCAAUCCAUGUUAAUAAAUAAUCUUCCUAUUUUUAUUUCUCAAGACUAAUCCUUAAAAGUCAUACUUUUUAUACGCUAAUUAAUCUAAUUAGAGUUCAUAAUUUUGUUUUCUUAUUUGUAGUAAUAAAAAGGGUUAUUGGCGCCUAAAUACACCAAUUUUGGGGGUAAUUUGAUUUUGCACAUGAACUUUGAAAUGUGUAAAAAAAUACAUGGAUUUUAAUGUUGUAGCAAUUUUAUCACAAAUUCAAAUACUAGAUAUUCAAACUCCAUAAAAAUCUUAUGAUUUACGGGUUUAGAGAUGUCUUAUACGAUAUCUUUUAGAGAUGUCCUAUACGAUGUUAUUUUUUAAAACGUCGAUGAUACACGUCGAUAUUUGACUUGCCACGUCAGUUUAAUUUGAGAUAAAUUGAAUUUGUGACAUCGUAUUGGACCUCUAAAAGAUAUCGUAUAUACAUCUCUAAACUCGUAAAUCGUAAGAUUUUUAUGGAGUUCGAAUAUCUUAUAUUUGAAUUUGUGAUAAAAAUUUUACAACAUUAAAGUUCAUGUAUUUUUUUGCACCUUUCAAAGUUUAUGUGCAAAACCAAACUACCCCAAAGUUGGUGUAUUUAGGUGCUAAUAACCCUUAAAAUUCCAACAAUGUGUUCAUUAUGGUUUAAUAUUAGUAGCAUUAAACUCCUCAUGUGUGGGAGUGCAACAUAUGUAUGUCUAAAAUUGUACACAAUUGACUUUAAGGAAUGAAAUAUAUAUACUGAUGGGUACUUUCAUCUUAAAGAGUUUACAUUGAUGAAAAGAACAAAAUCUAAUUCUUGCCUAGAAAAAAAUAUUCCAAGAACAAAAUUUCAUUCUUGCCUAGAAAAAAUAUUCCAACUUAGCACAUUUAACUAAUUAAAUCCUAGAGGGAGUCACAAAGUCAUAUCUGAUGAUUUAAUAUACCCAUCCUAGUAAGUAGCAUGAAACUCCUCAUGCGCGAAAAAGUGUAGCAAUGCCAUGUUUAUAAUUGUGCGUAAUUGACUUUAAGGGAUGAAACAUAUCAUAGCAAGUUUUAUCUUAAUUAAAAGGGGUGUUUAAUUUGGUGGAUGGAAUAAAUAAAAUUGAUAGGAUUAAAGAAUGAUUAAAUAAUUCACCCAACUUUGAGAUAAUAAAUAAUUAUGUAAUUUGAUAAACUUCAGCUAAUUAAAGCAUUGCUCGAGUAACAAUUGCAUGGUGGCAUCCACCAUAAACUUCAGGAUACAUUUAGUUCAAGUUUCAGAAUUGCCUACACCAAAAAUAAAGAAAGAAAAAGCCUAAUCCAUCCCUGUUCUAUUAAAAAACAAAAAAAGAAAGCCUAAAAUGCUAAUCAAUCAGUAAUAAUCACAUUUAAAUGUUAGUUCACUAACUAUAACAAAACAAAUUUACAAAAAUAUUUACAGUAAAUCCAUCCCCCGGACUAAUUACAACAAACAAAAUUGUUAAUACAUCAAAGUCAAAACUCUCUCUCUCUCUCUCACUGAUUACAAAUUUACAAUACACAAAAAUUGGUAAGAACUCCAGGAAAAAGAAAAAAAAGUUCCCUCAACAAAAAUCACACCAUUUACAUUCAAAAUACAUGUUAAUCACCAAUGCACUCCGCAUUUCCUAUAACCUAUAAUCCCACUACCCAAAACAUGAAUUUCCCAUUAUCAAAUCCUCCUGAAUAAUUGCAAAAUAAUAACAAAAUAGUUUAAGGCCUCAUUUCCAGAUUCAUUUAAGUCAUAGUGCUAGUGAAGAAAAUUCCAGUCAGAUGUCGGUCACACUAGGUGGUAAAUGGAAGCAGAUGGAGAGGGGGCAGACAAAAUCGUUCAGUCCACAAAUGAUGUCCUGGUCUGUCUUUCAUUCCGUGUUUGGAAACUUUGGAUAAAUAGAAGGAUGAUGUUAUAUAAGAAAUGUUAAUCAAUUGUUCCAAACUUUCCAAACACAUAAUGGAUAGAACAACACACCAAUUGUAGACAAGAAAAUCUUGACUCGGGGGGAGGAAACUUCAUAUGUGCAUAUACUGUGCAGUGCAUGUAUUGCGCAUGUAUUUUGAGAAGAGAGACUUGUGAAAAUCAAGACCCUAAAUAUAGACAUCUUUCGACAAUGCCACAUAUGCAAAACUUGAGGUAAUGAAACAGUUAUUAAAAAAGAAACUAGAAUCUCCCAAGAAAAAAAAUUCUUCAAGUAACUUCUAAAAAAAAUGUAAAAGCUUUACCGUUUCCUUGAAAAUCCUUGUCAGGGCGUCUCCU